AGGGGGGAGGGAGCUCAGUGGAAAAGAAGAAGAAGCGGGGGGGGUUUGAAUAGUCAGUGACUCAGAUGAAUAGUUCCACAGGGGUAUGGUUUAACGAAUUAGUUAUGGGAAAGCCCAGGGGUCUCGAUGCAAACAGGUUUUUCAUUAAACCUUUUAAACAUUAUUUAUUUAAAUGCAAAUAGAGCUGGCAAAAAUUCAUAACUCCAGUUUUAUCCAACCAAAUUUGGUCAAACCAAUUUUGCUAAGUUCUAAAUAAUAUGAACUACUUAGGAAAAAUACCAAACACCCUAAGUACUGCAAGACUUUUUAAAGUUUUGAUUUAAAUAGUAAACUGGCCAAAAGCAAAAUAAAGAAGGGAAAAAUAGCUGCACUGUUAGACUGAGGUCAAGAAAAAUUAGAGAGGUACUUAACCACUAACUAUCUUAUUUAAAAAUAAUAAACCCCUAAGUACACCAGAUUAGGGAGUAGUUUACCAUUAAAACUUGCUUUGAUUCAAACUUAAGGAAAAGGGAGUUUAAAAUAAGAACCAGAGGCCAAUCGCAUUUUUUCUAGCUUACUUUAGAGACAUAAUUCACUAGGAAAUUUUGUCAAGCCCUCUGUUAGUACAAAAGAAAUGCACCGCAUUUUAUUUCAUGAAAACAAUGAAAAUUUAGAAAAAUCCUAGAAAAAUAACCCUAAAGAGAACCCACCCCCACCCCAAUCCUGGGGGUAACUAAUAAUAUGCUAGUAGAAAUCUAAGAAAAAAUAUAAGUUCUGUUGUUUGACAUUUUUCAAAUAACAAGUUAGUUAUAAGUGCAUUUUUGACAUUAAACUUUAGAAACACACAAUUACAUACCUAGUGGGUCUUUUUUGUGAUUUUUAGCACAGAGACCUAUUAUCACCCAUGAAUCUUAGUAAAAAUAAAAUUUAGUUCAGAAACCUCACCUAAAUCAGAGCUAUAGUGCAAAGUGCCCUUUCACCCUUACUUUUGUUAUUUUUGCACAAGGAGUAUCUCAAUUAAUUUCAACCUCAAAUUUUUAGAAUGAAUCACAGAGGUCAAUGUUUACCCACUGUAAUUUUUUUAACAUUUUUGGAAAAUUCUAGAUUGCCAUGAUAGUUCAAAAGCCGUCAAUAAUAAGCAAAAUAGAAAGUAAAAUGAGAAUUUUUGGGAGAAAUUAGUGGUGUGCAAAUUAAAUCUUCCAAGGGCCCAAAGCAAACAUCCAAGGGAUGACUAAAAUUUUAAGGUCAUUCAAGACCCUAAAAUGAGUGUAUGAAACCCUUAACACACCAUUCGCCAAAGGAAACCAUAGUGUACCCACUAUUUUAAUACUGCUUCACCCUACGUAGCAUUUACAACUUGCCAUAUCAUUAAUAUGCAUAUAUCUUAUUCAUUGCAUUCGAUAGAUUGUAAUGUCGCUGAUGGAGAGUACAUCCUCGUUCCAAAGCAAGGAGUUGCUCAGGAGGUAGCCCAGGAGCCAGCACCAGAGCCUGCCAUCGAGGAUCUGCCUGCCCCAGCUUUGGAAGGCAAGCCUCGGUUUUAUGCAUAACCGUUUAUAUAUGCUAUUUUACUACACUUAAUGUUUGUAGGCUUGUACUGUGCACUUAAGUAUAGGAGUUGAUUGAAACCCUAGUUGCAUGAACUCAGGAUUCCUUUUGAGAUGGAUACUAAUAUGCUAGGUCGAGUAGCUUCUUUACUAAUUAGGGAUCUCGGUAGAAGUCGAGUGAUUUUUCUAGCACUCAUGCGAGGUCAUGAAUUGGUUGUAUCCAUUUUGAUAACGGAAUGAUGAUGGUCUGUGGACAUGGAUCCAUGGGGAUGCGUGGUUUACGAGAAGAAAUUGGAAUAAGCAUUAACGUGCAGAUACCUGUGUCAAGCGUUUGAACGUACUAAACACAUGCCAAGAAAUAUGGCAAAUCGGUAAGCCUAGUACCUAAGUGAACCUGCCUGCAGACUUUACCCCUCACGCGACUUGAGACGUGGUCUCCCAUUCCGGUUAUGGUGGGUACAAAUGCGGUCACUGCACGACGGCAGUCAGGGUCAGUGAGGCAUUAUACGCCAAGGCGGUGAGCCCUGUUCUGUUGCCAGGGAAUCGAUGGGGACGAUUGAUGUAACACCCCAGGUGUUACUUAGGGUUUUCACUCAAGGCUACACUAUUGAACCCAUCAUCACAUGUGGUCUAGUUUGAGAAAAAGACACCAAACUUGGGGAUCAAGAUCCUAAGUAGGUGUAACCUAUCUUAGAAGUCAUGCCUUGGCCUUAUCAUGCACUAAAGAGAAGGGAAUGACCCAAACCCUAAUUCAAAUCCCUUAUAGGCAAAUGGAGCCCUAGAGGGGAUUAUGGCAAAAAGUCUAUGUAAAUCACAUUGUCAUGACUUGGACUAAUUAUAAAAGUUGUAGUACACUUAAUACCCUACAAAACAUAGAAAGAGAGUGACCCCAAAAAGGAUUAAGAAAAACCCCAAAAAGGUCACCAAAGAGAAAGACAUAAAAGAAAAAUCAGGUUUUUUCUCAAGUUCAAAACCGACCCUCUUUCAAAGAUCAAACAUGUUCACCUUGUUCCCAAACUCAAAACCUUAUCGCCCAAUUGACAAAAUGGCGCCAAAAGACCCCUAGAAUACCCUGGAAAAGUUUGAACCCAACCCUAAGCCAUUUGACACGACUUGGCAUGGCUUUUGUCUUAGUGUGGACAACUCGGAUAGAGCCAACUUCUCACCCCCAUAUCUCUCUACCCCGACCAUAUCUUUGCUUGGAACUCACAUCGAAAAGGUAGGAUUUGGUGCAGAUAAGAGACCGUACACGGGGGUUUUGCUAAGAUCUGCAUGCUAAGUCAACCAAAUCGGCUGUUGAACCCUGGCAGAAGUAAACCCCCACGUGUUCGACGUGGGCUGACACUCGGGGGCGCGCCCAGAGCACGCCCGCACGCGAACCCCCACGCGCCCUCGGCCGCCCCGUGCCCACACCCGUGCCAUGGCUAUAAAACCCACCCUAGUGCACGGCCAUCUUCCCCGUUGCCUCCUCUGUACCACGCCUAACCCUCCCGAGCUCGCCCGCAGCUCAGGCGACCUCCCCGCGACCCGCUAGAGCCGCCCGAGGGCAACCACCGUGGCCAAACCCUUUCCCGUCCACCUCCGCUUGAUCCGAGCCCUCGGAUAGCUUCCCCAGGAGGCCGUGAAGCCUGCCCGAGCUUGAGUCGAGGACCAGCCCCACCGGAACAGUGUAAUCGCGCUCGCCGGAGUUCGUGAACCCGCCGGAGCACGUGGAUCGGGUAACCCUCUGCACCAUUUCUCAAUUCAUUGCGCGCAUGGCCUCUACAUCACCCCGUGGAGGUCCUCAUGCACUUUAAUUGAACCCUACCGCCGUGGUUUGGCCGGAGCAGGAGCCGCCGACGACCUCCGCCGCCUGCGCUCGUGGCCAGGACAGCUCCGACCACCUCUAACACCGACCCGCACACCGACGUGACCGCCGUGACCUCCCCGACACCACUGACCACCUCGCCGGAGCUCUACUGCCGCCGGUAAGGCUCGCCGCCGUAAUCUUUGCCACGGGUACUGUUUAAGCCAGCCAGGGAGUGCGGGUUAGAUUUAGGCUAAGUCCAGGGGGUUUUGUGCAAGGUCAGUGACUCAUGCAAAUAGUAGACCAAGGGCUGUUCUGUGAGAGAAAAGGGGGAGAAAACCCAGGGACCUCAGCGCAAAUCUGUAUUUCUUUUCCAUUUCGAAUUUACUUUUCUUUUAAAUAUUACAAAGAACUUAAUAAAUGCAUAACUUGAAAAAUAAUCAUCCAAAAUUAGUCAAACCAAUUUUGCCAGACUUUGUGAAAUAUAAACUAUCAGGCAAAAAUGAUAAACCCCAUAGUUCCUGUUUUAUUUUCUAGAGUUUUGAAUUAAAUAAGAAAACUGCCCAAAACUUAAUAUUAGAGGGAAAAAUAGAAAUAUUGUUAGACCAGGGUUAAGAAAAAUAGUGGAGACACUAACCUAGUAGUGACACUAUUUAAAAUUAAUAAACACCCCAGUAUACAAGGUUAAGGAAUGUUUUUUUACUGAAACUUGUUUAUGCUCAAACUUAGGAAAAUUAAAAAGGGGGAUUAAAAAGGGAAACCAGGGGACAACCAUAUUUUUCCUAGCAUGCCUAAGUUAUGUAGUUCACAAGAAAAAUCUAUUGGACCAUAGUCCAGUAAAAGGAAAUUGCACUCACAAUUCUUCAUGAAAACAGAGAAAACUUUGAAAAGUCAUAAGAAAAUAAUCCUAAGGAGAAAACACCCCUACCUUAGGAAUGACUAUUCUUGUGCUAAGAAGAACCUAGGAAAAAUACAAUUUCUGUUGUUUGAUAUUUUUCAAAUAGCAAGUUAGUUAUAAGUGUCUUUUUGGCAUUAAACUUCAGAAAAUCAUAACUAAAUAAUCACUAAGUAACCCUUUAUGAUUUUUUGCACAGAAACAUGUUAUUACCCAUAGAUGCCAGCAAAAAUAACUUUUAGUACAGAUCCCACACCUAGAUCAGAGUUGUAGUGCAAAGUGACCCCUCUGCCCCAACUUUUGUUAUUUUUGUCCAGGGCAUGUUCUGUUUAUUUUUGACCUCAAAUUUAUAGGACAGACUUCAGAGGCCAAUAUUCACCCACUAUAAGUUUUACAGAAUUUUUUGGAAAUUUUGAAAUCACUGUUGUAGUUCAAACCCCCCCCCCUUAAGAGCAUAAAAAGACAAUAAAAAGAAAAAUUAGUAGUGGAGAUUAAUGUUGCCCUAACCAAAACAACAAAACCUUUGAAUACCUAAUAGAACCUUUAAAGGGCAAUCCAAAUCUUAAUCCACUAUGUUUACCUCUAAGCAAAACCUCAGACCUAAAUUGAUAAGCAUAAACCACUAAGAGCUUCUGAUAACAGGGAAACCCUAAGUUAUCAACUAACUUAGAUUUUCUUCACUAAGCAUAAUGGUUACUAAAUCCUGCAUAUCAUAGCAUACAUAUUUCUUAUUCAUUGCAUUCGAUAGAUUGCAACCUCGCUGACGGAGAGUACAUCCUCGUGCCGGAGCAAGGAGUUGCUCAGGAGGUAGCCCAGGAUCCAGCACCAGAACCUGCCAUCGAGGAUCUGCCUGCCCCAGCUUUGGAAGGCAAGCCCCGGUUUUAUGCAAGACCAGUUCUAUAUAUUAUUUUACUGCACUUAAUGUUUGUAGGCUUGUACUGUGCACUUAAGUGUAGGAGUUGACUGAAACCCUAGUUGCAUGAUCUCAGGAUUCCUUUUGAGAUGAAUACUAGUAUGCUAGGUCGAGUAGCUGCUUUAUUAAUUAGGGAUCUCGGUAGAAGUCGAGUGAUUUUCUAGCACUCGCGUGAGGUCAGGAAAUUGGUUGUAUCCACUUUCAUAUCAUAAUGAUGUUGGUCUGUGGACACGGAUCCAUGGGGAUGCGUGGUCUACGAGAUGAAAUUGGAAUAAGGAUUAACGUGCGGAUACCUGUGUCAAGCGUUUGAACGUACUAAGCACAUGCUGAGAAAUAUGGUAAAUCGGUAAGCCUAGUACCUGAUUGAACCUGGCAGUAGACUUUGCCCCUCACGCUACCUGAGACGUGGUCUCCCAUUCCGGUUAUGGUGGGUACAAGUGCGGUCACUGCUCGACGGCAGUCGGGGUCAGUGAGGCAUUGUACGCCAAGGCGGUGAGCCCUGAUCUGCUGACGGGGAAUCGAUGGGGAUGGCCGAAUUAUUACGUGGAAGUGCUAGUGUGGGCCAAUCCACUUUGACUCGUUUUUAUAGUUUACAUACCUUUGUACUACCUCUGCUUACUGCCGUAUUUAUGUUAAUGCACUUUCCAAUGAUACGUAAGCAAGGUAUUUCGGGUCCGUUAUAGGGAAGGCAUAGCAUAGAGAAUUCUAAUUCUCAUAUAUCAUAUCGGGUAGGUUGUGGUAUUUCAUUGCUACAAACAUGGGUUAUUGUAAAAUAAGACAUGUCAUUUGGAUACUUCUCUUCAACUUCGAAGUAUUUUUAUACAAAUAGUUGAAGUGAAUUUUACGAAAGAAAAUAAGGCGGAUUAUGGGAGUGUGUGACUUGAAUUAUUAAUUUGGCCAUGCAGAUAGAGAAUUGGAUCUGCCACAUUAGAAUUCACGACCAAAGGUGUCUCCGCAUCCAAUCAACACGAUGUGUGUGGGUACGGAGUGCCUCGCCACGUCGUGUGUUUAGGUUUACCUUGCAAGGAUAAAAACUCAAUUCGAAUCGUCUGCUUCUCGCAGCUAAUGAGACUGCUUGAUCCAUUGUACUGCAUUGAUAACAAGUGGAAAUGUGAUGCUAUGGCAAAAGAUGUUGAUUGCUAAAUGUUUGAUACCAUGUAUGAUUAUAUAGGUACACAUUUAGUCUUAAGAGAGUCACACUAAAACUUGAAAAAGCUAAAACUUGAUUUUUAGACUUAGCUAGUGCUUUUGGCACGCAAACCCCCAGCCAAACAGCUGCAUGUCUAGAGGUAGAGGAGUAGACUCCUCACACCGGGUAAGUCUAGCUUAGUAUUAGUAUACUCAGCCUUGCUUGUGGCAUAAUUUUACAGGUUCUCUGGAGGACAUGGUUGCUGGAGUGACUUGGUCGUCCAUCUUGCCACUGGGUUGGACAGUCGAGUGGGACCCUACCUCGGCUAAGGAGGAGCAUGAGGAGUGAUGGGACAGGCUUCCCCAUCCCUCCAUUUAUCGUUAGUUUUAUUCCGCUGCAUUUCGAACAAUGAUUACUACUUUUGCUAAAACUCCGAUGAUGAUGUAAUAAAUUUAAUACUCCUUAAUGUAUGGUUUUAUGCUUUAUUGUAUUUGCUCUGUGCCUCACCAUCGAGUGAGUAUGUGGUACUUGAUCCUGUUAGUGGACUCGUCGGACUAGAUCCGAGGGACUGACGUGUUAUUCUCAUUUAAGUGUGGUCUAGCCUAUAUGGCGGGACUUAGGCACUUAAGUUGGAAUAAUUCGAGCGGUUCCGCCAUAGCUGAUAUGUGUGGGGACAGUGUGCCUCGCCACGUCAUGUGUUUAGGUUUACCUUGCAAGGUUUAAAAACUCGAUUCGAAUCGUCUGCUUCUCGCAGCUAAUGAGACUGCUUGAUCCAUUGUACUGCAUUGAGUAAUAAGUGGAAAUGAGGUGACUGGCAAAAGAUGUUGAUUGCUAAAAAUGUUUGAUACCAUGUAUGAAUAGCUAGGUACACAUCUAGUUUAAAAAGGAUCAUACUAAAACUUGAAAACCUAAAACUUGAGUUAGACUCAGCUAGUGCUUUUGGCAAACCAAACCCCUCAGCCAAAUAGCUGCAUGUCUAGAGGUAGAGGAGUAGACUCCUCACACCGGUAAGUCUAGCUGAGUAUUAGUAUACUCAGCCUUGCUUGUGGCAUAAUUUUUUACAGGUUCUCUGGAGGAUAUGGUUGCUGGAGUGACUUGGCCGUCCAUCUUGCCACCGGGUUGGACAGUCGAGUGGGACUCUUCCUCUGCACGAGAGGAGCAUGAGGAGUGAUGGGCCAGGCUUCCCCAUCCCUCCGUUUACUUAUCGUUAGUUGAUUUUCGCUGCAUUCCGAACAACGACCACUACUUUUGCAAAACUCUGAUGAUGUUGUAAUAAUUUGAAGUACUUCUUUAAUGUAUGGUUUUAUGCUUUAUUGUAUUUGCUCUGUGCCUCACCUUCGAGUGAGUACGUGGUACUUGAUCCUGUUAGUGGCCAUGUCGGACUAGAUCCGAGGGACUGACGUUUUAUUCCUAUUUAAGUGUGGUCUAGCCUCUAAGGCGGGACUUAGGCACUUAAGUUGAAAUAAUUCCGGCGGUUCCGCCAUAGCUGGUAUCAAAGCUUGUACCACCACAGAGGAAUCAAUAAAUUGUAAUUACCAACCUUUUCAAAGAGUAAAACUUGUUAGAAAAAAAUGUUGGAUAGAUCGGUAAGACGAUAAGGAUGGACAUAGAAUGUGAAGCCUUAGGAUACUAGAUGGGUAGCUAGGUGGCUAUUUGAAUAUGCCCUACAGGCUACUAUGAUAAUGGAUGGAGGUUUCUCUAUCCCUAUAGGUUUGAGGUGAGGUCGCUUAGGACGUGCAUACAUGUAUCAUUUUUCUAGCUAGUUGGUAAAAGAUCAAGAAUUUUAAAAGCUAUGUAAGCCAAGAAUCACCGUAAUAAAAGUUUAGUCCACAUCAAAGGUCUCAACUUAACCAUGGGAAAGCCAAGCAUUAGUUUCCUUUUAUUUCGGUAAUUCUUUUUCUUUUUCGCUUACGCUUACCCUUACAUAGAUGACUUAUCACGAAUCCUCGGAAGGAGGGAACGCACAUUCCCACACGGACGGACUUGCACGAGAGGGUUUUCCCCGCAUUUUAUGGGAAGUACUGCAGGGAGCCGGUUACGCUAUGCCUCCCUAGUAUGCGGUGCAGUUGUUCGAGGAGCACCGGGUACCCCGCUGUAGGGUGAGGAUGACCUUGGAGCCUCAUCCCUUACAGCCAGGCUGGCGUUCGUUGGACUCUGAGUCUUUCGGUUUCAGGGCUGAGGAUACUAUCGAGUCCACUGCUCUCCAUGGGCUGACGACCUUCUGUGGCUUUCACCCCUUUGAGUUAUCAACUCAUCCCAUUGGCUUGUUCCCCACAAAGAAGGAGGACGACCCAAUGUGGAAGGAUUGAGUGGAGCAUGCCAAGGAUGUGUGGGCUCUUUACCCGGGGAAGACUGCUCACCUGACGGUGCGGUGCAUGAAUGCCCUGUAUCGUCUGCAAGCAGUGCGAGGUGAGGCAAUGUCCCAGCUGAUGGGAUUGGUGGAGUCUACCAAGAUCACCCUGGAUAACAGGGAGGACCUUGUGGUAGACCUGUCCACUGAGCUGGUGGAAAAGGACCUCCUGGUGGAGCAGAUGGCCACCCAAAUCUAAGAGCUUGAGGAUCAGGUAGGGGCCAAGGAGAAUACCAUCGAGGUUCUAUAGGAUCAGCUCCUGACCACGCAACAACAACUUGAGGAAGCCAACCAGCACUUGGAUAUGCACCACCAGGAAAUUCAGGACAUGGAGGCAGAAGGGGCCGAUGAGGAUGUCGACAUCGAGGGAGGAGAGGAGCCAGAGCCUGCAUCCAGCUUGGACACUGCUGGCUCAGGGAGACCACCUUCCCCCGAGUCUAGCGUUGCCUCGUUUGCCCAUUAGCUUUUAGAGAUUGGGGUCGAAGUGUGCAGCAGUAGUACUCCUCGAAACUAGCUUAGCUUUUGCACCUUAGGGUACUAGGCUAGAAAGAGUCGAGUAUUUUGAACACUGCUGUAACCGUUAGAAAACUCUUUUGGAUUGAUGAAUGAUGAAUGAUUUCUAUUUUAGGUUAUGAAGGAAAUUUAUGUCAUGUGGUACCUCCUAUGAAAAUGCAAGGAAAUGUUCGACAUCUUACAAACUUUGUCAUUAAAAUCUCUUACCAUGUGCAAUCCCUGAUUUCAAAAGAAUGAUAUUAAGAGCAUCCUAAAUUUCAGAUGGCAGGAAGAGCGCGCCGUGGAUAGAAUGUGCGCAUUCCUCCACCAUCGCCGCCGCCUCCUACCAUGCAAGAGCUGAUGGCUCAGCAGAAUGAGAUUCUGCGACAAUUAGCUCAACAUCAGCCACCACCCCAACACUAUGGUGGUGGUGAUCACCAUCAGCGUCCCCCAACAGCGGCCACCUAUCAGGAGUUCCUCAGCACUCGGCCGCCAUUGUUCACUCGGGCAAAGGACCCACUUGAUGCUGAUGUGUGGCUUAGUGUGGUGGAAUCCAAAUUCCCACUGUUUACAGAAGUUUGUUCAAAUGUGGCCAAGGUCCGUUUCGCCACCCAGCAGCUUCGCGGACCCGUGCGGACAUGGUGGGAUCACUUCCUAGCUAUGCAGCCGGUUGACCACGUGGUUGAAUGGGGAGAAUUCAAGGCAGCAUUCAGAGGACAUCAUAUACCAGCAGGCAUCAUGGACCGCAAGCUUAAUGAGUUUCUGGCACUUACUCAGGGGAGUCGUACAGUGUUACAGUACACCCAAGCUUUCAAUGACCUGUGUCAGUAUGCAGGCUAUCAUGCUGACACGGAUGAGAAGAAGAGGGACAUGUUCAGGAGGGGCCUCAGUACUAAGCUCCGCAACCGUCUCAACACAGUCAGGGCCAACAGCUACAAUGAGUUAGUCAACUUGGCCAUUUCUCAGGAAGACUGCAUCACAGCCCGUCAGGUAGAGAAGAAGACCCCUAUGGUGGGACCUUUAGCUCAGCCUCAGCGCUUCAGAAUUGUGUCUGACACUUAGAGUAGGGGACCUCAGCAGCAAGGACGGUGGGUGAUCCGACCACAACAGCAGCAGCAGGCACCCAACCGCUCUCAACCCCCAGUUCAGAGGAACAACAACCAGCCACAGCAGCAAUACCGUUAGGCCAAUGACAACAGAUGUUUCACUUGUGGCAGCACUGGGCACUACGCCAAGAAUUGCCCCAAGAACCAGCAGAGGCAGGGGCAGAAUUCAAAUCAGAACCAAGGCAAGAGGCAGAGGGUGCAUGUGAGGCAAGGCAGGCUGAACUUCACCACGUUGGCUAACAUUCCAGAGGGAGCACCCGUCAUGACUGGUAUCUUUUCUAUUUUGAAUUAUCCUGUAGUCAUUCUUUUCGAUUCGAGUGCAUCACACAGUUUUAUUAGUGCGAGAUUUAGUGCCAAAUGCCAGUUACCUUUUCAUCACACAAAUGGGGGCAUUACAAUUUCAACACUAGGAGGCAGGGUUGCCACCUAUCAAAUCAACAGGCAUGUGCCUAUAAAUUUGGUAGUCUUAUAAUUAAACCCACCCUCCUUAUCUUGGGGUUGGAUAGUGUGUAUAUCAUCUUAGGAACUGACUGGUUAUCAAGGCAUCCGACAGUGGUUGAUAUCGCAGCAAGGGCCAUUGAGAUACACUCACCUACUUGUGGUGAAAUCACGUUAUAUUUGCCUAACCAGGGUUGUACCCAUUCUUGUGCCUUCACCCUGAUAGAGUCACCCGUCGAGAAGAUUCCAGUGGUCUGUGAGUACCCUGAUGUUUUCCCAGAUGAAUUGCCAGGAAUGCCACCCGACAGAGACAUAGAGUUUGCAAUUGAGCUGCAACCCGGAACUGCACCUAUAUCCAAGAGACCCUAUAGAAUGCCUACGAUAGAGUUAGCAAAACUGAAGAAGCAGUUACAAGAAUUGUUGGACAAAGGGUUCAUUCGCCCAAGUACUUCACCGUGGGGAUGUCCGGCAUUGUUCGUAAAGAAGAAGGAUGAGAGUCUGAGAUUGUGUGUGGAUUACCGCCCUCUCAAUGCGGUAACAAUAAAAAAUAAGUAUCCUUUACCCCGCACUGAUGUAUUGUUUGAUCAGUUGGUGGGAGCCAAGAUAUUUUCCAAGAUAGACCUUCGCUCUGGCUAUCACCAAAUCAAGAUCAUAGCUAGUGAUAUUCCGAAGACGGCUUUGUCUACCAUAUAUGGACUUGAUGAAUACUUGGUGAUGUCAUUCGAGCUAACCAAUGCCCCCAGCAUAUUUCAUGUAUUUGAUGAAUUCAGUGUUUAUGCCAAAGCUGGACAAGUUCGUGGUGGUCUUCAUUGAUGAUAUCUUGGUCUACUCAAAGAAUGAAGACAAACAUACUAAGCACUUGCAUAUAGUACUACAGAGACUGCGCGAUCAUCACUUAUAUGCUAAAUUGUCCAAAUGUGACUUAUGGAUGAGGGAAAUUAAAUUUUUGGGUCACACCAUUUCUCAGGAUGGGAUAUCAGUUGAUCCUGAUAAAGUGCAAGAAGUAAUGAAUUGGAAGCCUCCUACCACCGUACGGCAGAUUCAAAGUUUUCUGGGAUUGGCAGGAUAUUAUUGGUGAUUCAUUCCAGAUUUCUCCAGGAUUGCAAAGCCAAUGACGGAAUUGUUGAAGAAAGGAGUAAAGUAUGAAUGGAGUCAAAAAUGUGAGGAUGCCUUUCAUACAUUGAGGCAGCAUCUGACAACAGCACCCGUGCUAGCACAACCUAACAACACGAAAUCUUUCGAUGUGUAUUGCGAUGCUUCGGGCACUGGAUUGGGUUGUGUUUUGAUGCAAGACAACAGAGUUAUUGCCUAUGCAUCCAGAGCACUCAGGCCUCAUGAGCAGAACUACCCCACACAUGAUCUGGAGUUAGCAGCCGUAGUUCACGCUCUGAAGAUAUGGAGACACUAUCUAAUGGGAGCUCAUUGUAAUAUCUAUACCGACACAAGAGUCUCAAGUAUAUUUUCACUCAGGCUGAUCUUAAUAUGAGGCAGAGAAGAUGGUUGGAAUUGAUCAAGGACUAUGAUUUGGAGGUGCAUUACCAUCCGGGCAAGGCCAAUGUUGUGGCAGAUGCCCUAAGUCGAAAAGCCCAGUGUAACUGCGUAACUAUGGACUCUAAGAUCACCACUCUGUGUGACGAGUUGCGCAAGCUGAACAUGGAAGUUAUUUCCCCAGGUACCUUGAGUUAUAUCUCAGUAGAGCCCACUCUACAAGAGCAGAUAGUCCUAGCACAGAUUGGUGACAAGGGUGUUCAAGUCAUUAAGAAGAUGCUCGAACAAAAGGUGGAUAAGUACAAAUGCUUUGGUCAGGACAGCAAGGGAGUUCUAUGGUUUGAAGACCGAUUGGUGGUUCCUAAGAAUCCAGAACUCAGGCAGAAAAUAUUGGAUGAAGCCCACCUUUCCAAAUUUUCCAUGCACCCCGGCAGUAACAAGAUGUAUCAUGAUCUCAGAUCCUUGUAUUGGUGGACCAAAAUGAAGAGGGAAAUUUCUAAGUAUGUAUCAGAAUGCGACACUUGCCAGAGAAUCAAGGCUAGUCAUUUGAAAGUAGCAGGUACCUUACAGCCUCUUCCCAUACCAUCUUGGAAAUGGGAGGAUAUUUGCAUGGAUUUUAUUGUGGGAUUGCCCAACACCUCCCGGCACCAUAAUUCUAUUUGGGUCAUUGUGGAUAGAUUAACCAAGACAGCUCAUUUCUUGCCAGUACAUACCACCCACAAGACAGAGAAAUAUGCAGAGAUCUAUAUUGACCAAAUAGUGCGUUUGCAUGGAGUUCCAAGGACUAUUGUGUCUGAUAGAGGAGCACUAUUUGUGGCACGUUUUUGGGAGCAACUCCAAAAGUCACUUGGAACCACUGUGAUUAGAAGCUUAGCGUACCAUCCUCAAACAGAUAGUCAAACGAAAAGGGUAAAUCAGAUUCUGGAGGACAUGUUGAGAGCAUGUGUGUUACACUAUGGUAAGAAUUGGGAUAAGUGCCUUUCUUUGGCGGAGUUCUCUUAUAACAACAGCUACCAGUCCAGCCUAAAGAUGGCACCUUUCGAGGCCUUGUAUGGGAGAAGGUGUAGAACACUGCUAAAUUGGUCACAAGCUGGAGAGAGGGAAAUAUUUGGACCUGCCUAGUACUUGAAGCUGAGAAUAAAGUCAGGGUCAUUAAGAAGAACUUGGAAGCUGCUCAGGCCAGGCAGAAGAGCUAUCAUGAUAAGAGAAGGAAGCCUCUACAAUUCGAAGUGGGAGAUCAUGUAUAUCUUAAGGUGUCACCCACCAAAGGUGUUCAGAGAUUUGGGAUCAAGGGAAAGUUACCUCCUCGUUAUAUUGGGCCCUAUGAAAUCAAAGAGACUUGUGGACAUGUAGCCUACCAAUUGAAGUUGCCACCCCAUAUGUCAGCAAUUCAUGAUGUGUUCCACGUAUCUCAACUACGAAAGUGUGUCCGCUUACCCACGGAAGUGCUACCUGAACCAGAAUUGGAGAUAGAACCAGACUUGUCUUAUCAAGAGCACCCGUCAAGGUUUUGGACCAAAAAGAAAGAUCAACUUGAGCAAGGUCAAUCCAAAUGUAUAAGAUUCAGUGGAGCAACCAUUCAGAAGAAGAGGCUACGUGGAAAACUAAGGAUUUUCUACGUUCUCGCUUCCCUGAUUUUCUGCCUAAAGGAAUCGGUACGUAACCCAAAACACCCACCCCCACCUGCCCUUUGAAUCUAAAUGUAAGGGAAACAUAGUUGUUAAGAGUAGAGUAAGAUGGGAAAAUAAAUCUAGAAGGACUUCCUUCUGAAGUUCCAAAGAGGAUGACAUUCGAAGAGCAGUUAACUAGAGAAACUUGGUUAAAGGAAACUGCAGCACACCAACACACACCUUCUUGGUACCCCACUAGAGGAUCCCUACCCAAUCUCGAGACGAGAUUCCUUUAAGGGGGGAGGGUUGUAACACUCCUGAUGUUACCAAAGCCCUGACUAAAGAAGCACCUUUGUGUCCUACUAAAACUAUAUGCUAAAAUGGGAAGUGAAGGAACUCAAAGUUGUAGAAGCUUGGUUAAGAUAAGCAUUUACCAUAACAAGAGAGAAAACCCUAUCCUUCAUAUAAUGUUCACCCACAAACAAGAUUCUAAAACUCUAAAUCCUUCUUAAGCCCUUAAACCCUAACCAUGGGAUUAAAGGGGAAAGGGUGGGCAAAUGAUCAAAACACCAAAAGGGACCUUUACUAAGAUGAAGUGUAUUAGUAAACCUACAAAUUUUGUUAAGGGAAGUCUUGCAAAAAGGCCCAACCAAAACCCCAAAACAAUUCUCCAAGAGGGGAACACAUUUGAGCCUUUCAAAAAAAUUCUAAGUCCCAAAACCACCCUAGCCCAAAGAUCAAAGGUGUUCACCUUUGUGCUGGCGCCAAAACCACUUGGACCAAAUAGCAAAAAGUACCCAAAUCACCCAAGGCACCUCCCUGAAAAAUUUGAAUUCAAACCAAUGUCGUUUGACAUGGUUUGACAUCAGUUUUGUCACUGGUGAACAGCGCCGAUAGACUUGACUUGGCGCCCGCAUAUCUCGCAAGCUAGGGCAUAUCUCCCAUUGGAACUUACACAAACUAGCUAGCCCUAGGUGCCAGGAAGAGAUCUGCACAAGACCCUUGGUGAGAUUCGCACAUUUGUGAUCCCUACAGGCGCUUGAACAAAGGCAGAAACAAACGCACACGUGUUCGACGCGUUCUGGCGCGCCAGAGCACGCCCUCGGCGCUCCGCCCAUGUGCGCAGCCCCACGCCGCGCCAACCUCACGUCCACGCCCGCGCCCGCUCCUAUAAAAGCCAUCCCGGCCUCGACCAUACACCCCCGCGCGUUGCUGACCCAACCCGAGCUCGAGUUCAUCGGAGGUUGCCCCGUGAGCGAGGUGCCAGCGGCCGGGCAAGCCACGACCACCGUAGACCGGCCAACCCAACCACUCCCCGUCCCGUCCGACUCUCGGGAUAGCCUCUACGGACCUCGGUGAAGCUCCCAGAGCCGAGGAUUGAACUCUACCUCACCGGAGACACCGGAUCGAUGUCGCUGGACUUCAACCGACCACCGGCGCACGUAGACCAAGCUCCACUGUAAGCCUUCCGUCGAAUCCUUGCACUGGUGGCGUCCUUAGCACCCCGUGAAGCUUCCUGUGCCACUAGACUGAGCAAUACCGCCGUAAACAGGCCGAAGCGUACGCCGCCGACGAGCCCGACCGCCUGCGCACGUGGUCCGACCGAUUCCGACCACCACCGUCAACGAGUCGCACCUCGACGUGACUGCUAGGACCUCCCGGAUCUAACCCCGCCCUUCACCGGACCUUCCUCGCUGCCGGUAAGCCGCGCCACCCUGUUUAUUCCCCGCGGUUACUGUUUCAAGGGGGUGGGAGCUCAGUGGAAAUGAAGAAGAAGCCGGGGGGUUUUGAUUAGUCAGUGACUCAGAUGAAUAGUUCCACAGGGGUAUGGUUUAACGAAUUAGUUAAGGAAAAGCCCAGGGGUCUCGGUGCAAACUGGUUUUUCAUUAAACCUGUUAAACAUUAUUCACUUAAAUGCAAACAUAGCUUGCAAAAAUUCAUAACUCCAGUUUUAUUCAACCAAAUUUGGUCAAACCCAUUUUGCUAAGUUCUAAAUAAUAUGAACUACUUAGGAAAAAUACCAAAUACCCUAAGUACUGCAAGACUUUUUAAAGUUUUGAUUUAAAUAGUAAACUAGCCAAAAGCUAAAUAAAGAAGGGAAAAAUAGCUACACUAUUAGACUGAGGUCAAGAAAAAUUAGAGAGGUACUUAACCACUAACUAUCUUAUUUAAAUAUAAUAAACCCCUCAGUACACCAGAUUAGGGAGUAGUUUACCAUUAAAGCUUCCUUUGAUUCAAACUUAAGGAAAAUGUAAAAGGGAGUUUAAAGUAAGAACCAGAGGCCAACCAAAUUUUUGCUAGCUUACUUUAAUGACAUAGUUCACUAGGAAAAUUUUUCAAGUCCUCUAUUAGUACAAAAGAAAUGCACCACAUUUUAUUCCAUGAAAACAAUGAAAACUUAGAAAAAUCCUAGAAAAAUAACCCUAAAGAGAACCCACCCCAAUCCUUGGGGUAACCAAUAAUAUGCUAGUAGGAAUCUAAGAAAAAUAUAAGUUCUGUUGUUUGACAUUUUUCAAAUAACAAGUUAGUUAUAAGUGCAUUUUUGACAUUAACCUUUAGAAACUCACAACUAAAUACCCAGUGGGUCUUUUUCUAUGAUUUUUAGCACAGAGACCUAUUAUCACCCAUGAAUCUUAGUAAAAAUAAAAUUUAGUUCAGAAACCUCACCUAAAUCAGAGCUAUAGAGCAAAGUGCCUUUUCACCCUUACUUUUGUUAUUUUUGCACAAGGAGUAUCUGAAUUAAUUUCAACCUCAAAUUUUUAGAAUGAACCACAGAGGUCAAUGUUUACCCACUGUAAUUUUUGUGACAUUUUUGGAAAAUUCUAGAUUGCCAUGAUAGUUCAAAAGCUCUCAAUAAUAAGCAAAAUUGAAAGUAAAAUGAGAAUUUUUGGGAGAAAUUAGUGGUGUGCAAAUUAAAUCCUCUGUUGGGGGUAUGCUUCGUAGCCGAAGAUCCUAAAGAAAGAGAACACCUUCGGCAGACACUCUCAGGAGCAAGCGCCGAAGCUAUUACUUAGAGAGCUUCGGCACAAUGAUAGAUCCUAAGACGAAGGGUCGAACCGACUUAAAGAUGGAUUGACUUAAAGACCCAUGAUGUCUGUGUCAUUAUUGUAGUCAAUUAUAAAGGACUUAAAUGUAAUUUUACGCAGGUUGCACCCUGUGCCUAUAAAUAGGUGAACAGUACCCCGGCACUGUUCACGCAAUCCUGUAACCCUUGGCAUAUUACGCUCGAAUUAUUGUUUUCCGCCAAGGUGAAGGUAUAAAUGUGCCCAAAUAUCAUGUUUUAGUACUUAUAUAUUCAUAUAAUAAAAUAUGUGAAUAUAUUUUAUACUUUAUAUUUCAUUUCUCAUUGUUUGUUAUCUUACAAAUAUGAUCACGAAGGUGAAAUCUCUGUGACAUUUUAUUCAUGACCUUCGUCCGAAGCUCAUUAAAUCCUUGGGGAGAUAAUGCUUCAGCGGACGAAGGGCAUUUAUACUUAACAUUUUUUGUGUUGCCUUGUUCUUAAUUCAUAGCAGUUGAGAACAAGUCCCCAACAUUGGCGCCCACCUCCGGUGAACUCACUUCCACUUUCUGAGCUGAUGUCUUCGUUUAAAGCUGGAGUUGCUUCGGCUCCGAAGCUCGUACUCCCGAUAACAGGCGGUUCAAGCUCAGAGCCAGCCAACAAGAAGCAGAAGAAGGAGGCACAGAGAAGGGUACAACAUGUCGGGGUGCAAGGACUCUUCAUCAAGUCAAGAUGGUCCCACAUUCUGAUUACCUUCUCCCAAGAGGACCUUCAGCUUAAGGAUUACCCUCACAACGAUGCUAUGGUUAUUUCUUGUGUUAUCAAAGGAUUUCUGGUCCACAAUGUCCUGGUUGAUACAAGCAGUGCAGCGGAUAUUAUAUUUGCUAAGGCCUUCAGACAGAUUCAAGAGCCCGAAGAUAAGAUCCAUGACGCCACACAUCCUCUUUGUGGCUUCGGAGGAAGGCAGAUUGUAGCACUUGACAAGAUCACGAUGCCAGUAACCUUCGGAUUUAUCAACAAUACAAGGACUAAACAAGUUGUGUUUGAUAUUGUUGACAUGGAGUACCCUUACAACGCAAUCAUUGGUCGUGGUACUCUCAAUGCUUUUGAAGCAAUUCUUCAUCCAACAUAUCUUUGCAUGAAGAUACCUUCGGAUCAAGGGCCUAUUGCUAUUCAUGGAAGUCAGGAAGCAGCCAGAAAGUCCGAAGGAAACUGGACAGAUUCAAAAGCAAUCCACAACAUAUAUGGAGCCGAAGCUUGUGAGCAAUACAAGUACAGAAGGGAGAAAGCUGUCUCGGCUGAUCAGCCAAAGCCCAUGCUCUUAUGUGACGAUAUAGCAGAGCAGAAGGUGCUAUUGGGAUCUCAAUUGUCUGAGGAGCAGGAGAAAACCCUGAUAAGGUUUCUGUUUAACAACAAAGAUGUCUUUGCAUGUCAGCUAAUGAUCUCUGUGGUGUCAACAGGGAUGUUAUUGAACACUCGCUCAAUGUUGAUCCAUCCUUCAGACCCAGAAAGCAGAGGCUUCGGAAGAUGUCUGAUGACAAGGCCGAAGGUGCUCGGAAUGAAGUGAAAAGACUCCUCAGCGCUGGAGUCAUCAGAGAAGUAAAAUACUCAGAAUGGCUAGCUAACACUGUUAUGGUGAAGAAAGCCAAUGGUAAAUGGAGGAUGUGCAUUGAUUUUACUGAUCUCAACAAGGCUUGUCCGAAGGAUGAAUUUCCAUUACCAAGGAUAGAUUCUCUGGUAGACGCAGUAGCUUCGUCAGAGCUCAUGAGUUUACUAGAUUGUUAUUCAGGCUACCAUCAAAUCUGGAUGAAGAAAGAAGACGAGCCAAAAACCAGUUUCAUCACCCCCAGUGGUACAUAUUGUUACCUUCGGAUGCCUGAGGGGCUCAAGAAUGCUGGAGGUAGCUUCAGCAGAAUGACAGCAAAGGUCCUUCAUUCUCAGAUAGGCAGAAACGUGCUAACAUAUGUUGAUGAUAUCAUAGUAAAAAGCACAAAGCAAGAAAAUCACAUUGCUGAUAUGCAGGAGACAUUCGCUAAUUUUAGACAAGCUGGUCUGAAGCUGAAUUCGGAAAAAUGUGUCUUUGGGGUAAAGAAGGGGAAAUUCCUUGGUUGUUUGGUUUCAACAAAAGGGAUCGAAGCUAAUCCAAAUAAAAUCAAAGCUAUCCUUCAGAUGGAGCCGCCAAGCACAAAGAAAGGGGCUCAACGGCUGACAGGAAGACUGGCAUCUUUGAAUCGAUUUAUAUCCAGAUCGGUAGAGAGAAAUUUACCAUUCUUUGAAGUACUAAAGUCAGCCGAAGUUUUUCAAUGGGGAUCAGCUCAGCAAAAAGCCUUCGAAGAACUGAAACAGUAUUUGAUAGAUUUAACAACUCUAACUCCACCAACGCAAGGGGCUCCUCUGCUGCUGUAUGUGGCAGCUUCGCACUCUGUAGUAAGUGCGGCGCUUGUUCAGGAGAAGCUUGAAGGGCAAUUAAAAAAGCAGGCUCCAGUAUACUUUGUUUUCGAAGUCCUCAGUUUAUCAAAGAAAAACUAUACAGAAUUGGAGAAGGUGCUGUAUGCUAUUUUAAUGGCCUCCAGGAAGCUUCGACAUUAUUUUCAAGCAUACCAUAUAAUUGUUCCUUCAUCACAACCUUUGAAGGAUAUCAUGAGAAACAGAGAAGCUACUGGAAGGAUUGGAAAGUGGGUUGCGAAACUCAAUGAGUUCUGCAUUGAUUAUGUGCAUAGAUCUUCGAUUCAGUCCCAGGCGCUAGCAGAUUUCAUCGCUGACUGGACGCCAGGGGCUCAAGAAGAAGAAGCAAGUAAAGACGCCGAAGCUUGGACUGUAUUCUGCGAUGGUUCCUGGGGAACCUUUGGGGCAGGUGCAGCUGCCAUUUUAAUCGCACCUUCUAAAGUCAGAACAUGCUACGCAGUGAAACUUGAUUUUAGUUGUACAAAUAAUAUUGCUGAAUACGAAGCUUUGCUUUUGGGCCUUCGGAAGUUGAAGGCAAUGGGGAUAAGAAGGGCGGUUCUCAAAACUGAUUCCCAAGUUAUUUCUGGCCACGUCGACAAAAGUUGCAAAGCAAGAGAUCCGAAGCUUGAGAAAUAUUUGGAUACUGUUCGAAGACUUGAAGCUUCCUUCGAAGGGUUUUUUGUCAAGAAUAUUCCACGAGGAGAAAAUGAGCACGCUGAUCUACUAGCCAAGUCAGCGGCAUAGGGGCUGCCCUUACCUUUGGAAGUAUUUGAAACAAUAAAAGUACCUUCGGUUGACCUUCUUGAAAGAGCAGUACUCAAUAUAUCUCCCGUCUAUAACGAGGAUUGGAGAACUGAGAUCAUGUCUUUUCUUCAGGGCAAUUUCCUUUCAGAUGACGAAGCUUAUCAUAAGAGAAUAGCGGCAAGAGCCCGUCCAUAUGUAAUAAUAGAAGGGGAGUUAUAUAAGCAUGGAGUCUGUUCCCCAUUACUCAAAUAUUUAUCCAGAGCUGAAGGUAUAGAGCUAAUGAAAGAAAUACAUGCAGGCCUGUGUGGAUCUCACAUUGGAUCUAGGCCUUUGUUGGGUAAAGUUUUUCGUCAAGGAUUUUAUUGGCUGAAGGCAGCUUCGGAUGCAGCAGAAUUAGUCCAAAAGUGCGAAGGUUGUCAAAAUGUGCAAGAGACCAAAAACAACCUUCGUCUCUAACUCAAUUAAUACAGCCCACUUGGCCAUUGCAAAGGUGGGGCCUUGAUUUGCUAGGCCCACUUCCACCAGCACAAGGGAAUUUAAGAUAUGUUGUGGUGGCAGUAGAAUAUUUUUCUAAGUGGAUUGAGGCGAAGCCUUUAGUCACAAUAACUUCGGUUACUGUUCAAAAGUUUUUCUGGCAAAAUAUUGUGUGUCGCUUUGGGGUGCCAAAGGCUAUCACUGUGGACAGCGGAACACAAUUUGAUGUCGAAGCUUUCAGAGAGUUUUGUGAACAAAUUGGCACGAAGAUCCAUUUUGCAUCGGUUCGGCAUCCGGAGUCAAAUGGACUUGUUGAAAGAGCUAAUGGCAUUAUAAUGACAGGAAUAAUGAAGUUAAUCUUCAAUCAGCCCAGGGGAAAGUGGUCGGAUGAAUUAAUCAAAGUGGUGUGGAGCCACAACACAACAAUGUCAAGGUCAACAGGUUUUACACCAUUCAAAUUGUUGUUUGGUGAUGAAGCAAUAACCCCAGAAGAAGCUAAAACGGGAUCAAUAAGAACAGUGGCUUCGGCAGAAGACAAAGCUGAUUAUUCUGUGGCAAAAGCUGCUAUAGAAGGGAUCAGGCUUCAGGCUGUGGAGAAUAUCAAUAAAUAUCAAGCCGAAACAAUAAAAUGGCGUGACAGAAAGGUUCGGUUAAAAAAUAUUAAGCCAGAACAUCUAGUGCUUCAGAGAGUGGCUAACCCCGACACAGUAGGCAAGCUUCAGCUGAAGUGGGAAGGACCUUUUCUGGUAGUAUCUUCGUCAAGACCCGGUUCCUUCAGGUUGCAGGAUAUGGACGGCAACGAUAUUCCUAGAUCUUGGAAUGCGGAUGAGCUUCGGCGGUAUUAUGUGUAACCUGAUGUAAUCUUUUUUAUUCUUUCCUAUGGCACCCUUUUCCUUUCCAAAGGGGGAGAAAGGUUUUUAAUGGGGCCAUAGCAUGUAAUUUCCCUUUUUCUUAUACCAGCUCUACAAGAGCAAUAUCCCCCGAAGAUGUAAAUGUAAAAACUGGGCAUGCACCAUCGAGUGCAAAGAGAAAAAAGGGAAAACAGGGAGAAGCUCGAAAGACGUCCCUAAGGGGAUGCAGAGCACGACGAAGCUACAAAAAGCCGUUCCUAAGGGAACGCAACGUAAGUUUUCUGCUCAAAAGUCAUUCCUAAGGGAAUGCAGAGCUUACAACGAAAAGUCAACGCUGAUUCCGCCGAAAUAAAAGGCGAAGCGCGAAAAGUCAACGCGAAUACCAUCAAAAUAAAAGGCGAAGAAGCUCCUAAGGGAGGCCCAAAAUAAAAGGCGAAGAAGCUCCUAAGGGAGGCUUACAGCGAAAAGUCAUCGCUGAUACACCGAAAAAUAAGCGGUGAAGCCGAAAAAUAAACGGCAAAGAUUUGUUAUUCCUAAGGGAAUAAGAGUUGUGGUUAUGGUUUCGUAUAUGUCUUCGAACAUUCAUUUGCACGAUACAUUACAUCAUACAUUUGCAUUCAUAAACAUUCACUUAGACAUACAUAGGAUCAUCAUCAUCAUAACAUACAAACUUGCUUCGGCUUUGAAAGAGAAGGCUUCGGAAAAAAGGGAAAAGAGGCAAUUUUAUGCUUCGCUGUGUACGCAAAGAAGGGAAGGUGUUUUUCGCCUUCGGCUCAAAAGUAUUAAUUUCGUCCACACCAAAGCAUUUCAUACAUUGAUGGAAAAGUAAGAUUAUAUUACAAAGUGAAAUUUAAUUACAUCAUACUUUAUACAAGCUUUUUGAGCUAUUUUUACAGACUAUUCGAGCUUCGACAACAUCCAUGGAGCUUCGUCCUUUUACUCCGCAGCUUCAGCUUCGGCUUGGUCAACCUGUAUGUAAGUAUUAUAAGCCAAAUUCAAAAUUCAAAGGAAAAGGUAAAUAUAAGGUAUGAUUUUUUUACCAGCUUAAGAUGGCUUCGAGCUUCGUCACCAGCUUUGCUCCGGCCACCCUUUGUCCAUACUAAUUUUAUGAAUCUAUUCACAAUACUUCGGGCUAGGCUGGGAAUGUUAUCUAAGUCUGCUGGUGACAGACUGAAGUUGGGUCUAUUAACAAUCUUUCCGUGCUCACAGCCAGACUUCAAAAAGGCAACAUCUGUGCCCCGAGAAGCUGCCAGGGCACAGAAGUCGCCAUGCCCAGCUAUAACUUCGUCAAGAUCAUUAAUUUCACCUUCAAUAUGCUCGAAGGCACCAGGCAGGUCUUCACUCGAAGGAGUGAACUUUUCACUACUGGCUCCAACAAAAUGGAAUACCUGCUUCAACUGUUGAAUGCAUCGAUUGCUGAACUCCAGGCAUUUAUUCUGAAGAUUUGUCAAGGAUUCUUUCAGCUCCGAACUUUUUUGAACUUUGGCUUCAAGCUUUGCGUCAAGUUUCAGCUUUUCUUGUUCGAAAUUUUCUGAUUGGGAAAGAAGCUUCGAAUUUAAUUCUGUUAUUUUGGCUUCAGCAUCCGCUAAUAAGCCUUCGGCUGUUUGAAGCUCGAAGUCUUUCUUUUCGAUGUAAGCUGAUUGCUCUUUUAUCUUGUUUUCUAGGUUCUCAAUUAUAACUUCGUGCCUUUUAUCCUCUAAGUCCUGUUGCAUUUUUAAGGCCUUGCUCAAAAGCAUACUCUGUGGACAGAUAACCUUCGUUAGAAAAUAUUUAUGUUAUUGAAAAUAGUAAAGGUUAGGCACAAGAUAUUUACCUUAAAAUUGAAUAGAACAAACUGCCGACAAUGUGUUGUCGUCGGUAGCGGCUGAUGUCUGCUUUGAGCUUCGGGAAGCCGAUACUCUUUGAUAGAGUACCGAUGACCUUCGCGCCAGUCUGAUCUCGUAUGCAGCCUAAUCUUUCGUCAUCAAUACCACCAAAGAGAAGCGCCCCCGGCCGGUACCCGCAAGAUAUAGCAUAUUCUUUUAGUUCCUCUUUUUCAGCUUCUUUCAGCUCUUGGCCAACUAAGUUUUGAAAGUCAAAAGUUUCAUCUUCCGAGGUAUCUUCGGUCAUUUCUUCUUUCUCGGGUUUUGUGGCCAUGGUCUCUUCGGUGGCUGCGACAGCUUCUUCCGUGGCCAUGUUUAACAGCAUUUUGUCUAUAUCAUCAGCUAUGCUUUCUAAAUUAAUAUCUUCGGAUUUAGCAUCUUCGGCUCUGGCUUCUGCUGCGGCAAUUUUCGAAGGUACAACUUCAAUAGCCGGUACCUUCGGUGCUGAAGCCCUUGGUGGUGUUGCUUCAAUAACUUCUGUCACAGUAACAAUCCUUUGCCUCUUUGGCCUAGGUGCCUUCGAUUUUAUGGACUCCUUUUCCUUAUGAAAAAGCUUCGUCAGAUGUAGUCCCAAUGGACUUAGUUUGACAGGCAAUGUUUCAGUCAUUACCUUUAAAAUUUCCUCUAUUUCAGUAGCAGAGGACGUCGCAGAAGUCUUUUCUUUUUCAUCAUUUGAUUUUUGCUUCGGAGUUGAAGCCUUUCUUUUCUGCGAAGCAACUGUUUUCGCCUCAGACUCUUGUUUUUUCUUCUUUGAUUGAUCUUCGUCGUCCUUAUUCAGAGCACUAGCCACUCUUUUCUUUUUUGCCCUUCGACACCCUUGUCCAGGCGCUCGUAGUCAGGAUAUUCAAAGCCUAUAGCAUCCAUCACUCGGUUUAGCCUUCGUUUCGGACGGGUGCCGAAGGCCGCUGUCAUCAAUUGAUCUUCUUUUUUAGAAUAAUUUCCAAGUAUUUCGUUGCACAUUACUUCGAUUGUAUCCAGCCAUUCUUGGCAGGGUACUUUGAAAUGUCUCUUGAAUUUGUAGUGGUAGGGCAGCCGGACAAGUUCUCCCUCCUUUUUUCUUUCGAGCUUCGGCAUGGCCCACUCUUUCAUAGUUGGAAAUACUUUGAAAGCCAAAAAUUCCUGCACUAAGUCCCUAGUGCCAAUGUGCUCUGCGAUAAUCCUGAAUUCAGCCAGUGCAGUUUGGGUUGGACCCUCUGGUGUCAUAUUACAUUGGGGUCUGGUCUCUCCGAAGAUCAGCUCUAGCGGGCUCUGGACCAACUUCUCCUUAUCAUCGUCAACUUUGACGUAGAACCAUUCCGAUUUCCAGCCUGCCGGCCACUUGCUUCGGUAGCUGAUCACGGGAAAUUUUGUAGUCUUCCGGUAAGCAAAAUUGUAGCAGCCGAAGUUUUCAUGUAACCCAUCUUUUCUGGCAUUGGUUUGGUAAUGCAGCUCAUGCACUCGGCAGAAACCUUCGGCAAACGGUUCCACCCCUUGGCUUCGGAGAGCCCAAAUGUAAACGCUAAGCCUAACGAUAGCGUUAGGAGUUAGCUGAUGAAAGUAGAUCCCAAAUUUCUUUAGCACAUCAGCAAUCAUCUUAUUCAAAGGGAAUCUCAAACCAGCUUUGAAGAAACUCUUAAAAACUACUAUUUCAUCUUUUCCUGGUUUCGGAGUAGUUUCCUCUCCACCAAAGCGAAUCAACUCUUUCUUUUCUUCAUUGAAAUAGCCCAAUUUUAACAUCUUAGGAAGGUCACCUUCGGAGACUGUGGAUUUUCCAAAAUCCAGGUGGCUGGGUUUGCUCGGCACCGCACUGCUAUAAUCAUCCUCAGAAUCGGUCUCCUCAACUUCAACUCGCUCUGCUCCAGCGGCAGGGACGUCCUCCGAUGUCACCAGCCCAGACCGCUUCAUGGCUUCGGAGAUUGGAACGGUCUCAACAGCUUUGGUCUCAUCUCCCUCACGAUCAACCCUAGUAGUGGAGCGAACCCUGGCCAUUUGAUUAUAUCUUUCUUGAAAUUUUUUGAUUGUUGACUUUUCUGAUUUUCCCGAAGCUCUUCCUUUUGACGAAGCAGAAUCAAAAGCGGGGUUUCGUCUGAGCACGAUGAUUAAGCUUCGGCUAUGACUAAAAUUUUGGUAGCAAAACAGUGCAAUAGCAAUGAAUGUUGUGGUAACUUCACACCUACCUGUCUGUUUAUAUAGUGCCGCAGGUGAGAAGGUGAAUCAUCAAGGUCUCCCGCACCGAACAAACAGUCACCUACACUCGCUGAGCGGUGGGCCACAGGGUUCGAGAGGGUGAAUCGCCAGGGAGCGCGUAACUGCUGCAAGAUGGAGCCAUCUCGAGCGCGAAUUAUUUUAAUCGUUUCUCGCCGACGAGCUCAGGGAAGGUGCUUUCGGAUCUUCAGCAUCUCGAAGCCUAGAAGACUUUUUUCACGGAUCAAGCUCGUUACGAAAAACGAUCUAGCACCGCGAAGGGGCUACUGUUGGGGGUAUGCUUCGUAGCCAAAGAUCCUAAAGAAAGAGAACACCUUCGGCAGACACUCUCGGGAGCAAGCACCGAAGCUAUUACUUAGAGAGCUUCGACACAAUGAUAGAUCCUAAGACGAAGGGUCAAACCGACUUAAAGAUGGAUUGACUUAAAGACCCAUGAUGUCUGUGUCAUUAUUGUAGUCAAUUGUAAAGGACUUAAAUGUAAUUUUACGCAGGUUGCACCCUGUGCCUAUAAAUAGGUGAACAGUACCCCGGCACUGUUCAUGCAAUCCUGUAACCAUUGGCAUAUUACUCUCGAAUUAUUGCUUUCCGCCAAGGCGAAGGUAUAAAUGUGCCCAAAUAUCAUGUUUUAGUACUUAUAUAUUCAUAUAAUAAAUUAUGUGAAUAUAUUUUAUACUUUAUAUUUCAUUUCUCAUUGUUUGUUGUCUUACAAAUAUGAUCACGAAGGUGAAAUCUCCGUGAUAUUUUACUCAUGACCUUCGUCCGAAGCUCAUUAAAUCCUUGGGGAGAUAAUGCUUCAGCGGACGAAGGGCAUUUAUACUUAACAUUUUUUGUGUUGCCAUGUUCUUAAUUCAUAGUAGUUGAGAACAAGUCCCCAACAUCCUCCAAGGGCCCAAAGCAAACAUCCAAGGGAUGACUAAAAUUUUAAGUUCAUUCAAGACCCUAAAAUGAGUGUAUGAAACCCUUAACACACCAUUCGCCAAAGGAAACCCUAGUGUACCCACUAUUUUAAUACUGCUUCACCCUACGUAGCAUUUACAACUUGCCAUAUCAUUAAUAUGCAUAUAUCUUAUUCAUUGCAUUCGAUAGAUUGUAAUCUCGCUGAUAGAGAGUACAUCCUCGUUCUAGAGCAAGGAGUUGCUCAGGAGGUAGCCCAGGAGCCAGCACCAGAGCCUGGCAUUGAGGAUCUGCCUACCCCAGCUUUGGAAGGCAAGCCUCGGUUUUAUGCAUAACCGUUUAUAUAUGCUAUUUUACUACACUUAAUGUUUGUAGGCUUGUAUUGUGCACUUAAGUGUAGGAGUUGACUGAAACCCUAGUUGCAUGAACUCAGGAUUCCUUUUGAGAUGGAUACUAGUAUGCUAGGUCGAGUAGCCGCUUUACUAAUUAGGGAUCUCGGUAGAAGUCGAGUGAUUUUUCUAGCACUCGCGCGAGGUCAGGAAUUGGUUGUAUCCAUUUUGAUAACGGAAUGAUGAUGGUCUGUGGACACAGAUCCAUGGGGAUGUGUGGUCUAUAAGAAGAAAUUGGAAUAAGGAUUAACGUGCGGAUACCAGUGUCAAGCGUUUGAACGUACUAAACACAUGCCGAGAAAUAUGGUAAAUCGGUAAGCCUAGUACCUGAGUGAACCUGCCUGCAGACUUUACCCCUCACGUGACCUGAGACGUGGUCUCCCAUUCUGGUUAUGAUGGGUACAAGUGCGGUCACUGCACGACGGCAGUCGGGGUCAGUGAGGCAUUGUACGCCAAGGCGGUGAGCCCUGUUCUGUUGCCAGGGAAUCGAUGGGGACGGUUGAUAUGUGUGGGGACGGAGUGCCUCGCCACGUCGUGUGUUUAGGUUUACCUUGCAAGGUUUAAAAACUCGAUUCGAAUCGUCUGCUUCUCGCAGCUAAUGAGACUGCUUGAUCCAUUGUACUGCAUUGAGUAAUAAGUGGAAAUGAGGUGACCGGCAAAAGAUGUUGAUUGCUAAAAAUGUUUGAUACCAUGUAUGAAUAGCUAGGUACACAUCUAGUUUAAAAAGGAUCAUACUAAAACUUGAAAACCUAAAACUUGAGUUAGGCUCAACAAGUGCUUUUAGCAAACCAAACCCCUCAGCCAAACAGCUGCAUGUCUAGAGGUAGAGGAGUAGACUCCUCACACCGGUUCAGUCUAGCUUAGUAUUAGUAUACUCAGCCUUACUUGUGGCAUAAUUGUUUACAGGUUCUCUGGAGGAUAUGGUUGCCGGAGUGACUUGGUCGUCCAUCUUGCCACCGGGUUGGACAGUCGAGUGGGACUCUACCUCUGCAGGGGAGGAGCAUGAGGAGUGAUGGGCGAGGCUUCCCCAUUCCUCCGUUUACUUAUCGUUAGUUGAUUUCCGCUGCAUUCCGAACAAUGACCACUACUUUUGCAAAACUCCGAUGAUGUUGUAAUAAUCUGAAGUACUUCUUUAAUGUAUGGUUUUAUGUUUAUUGUAUUUGCUCUUUGCCUCACCUUCAAGUGAGUGUGUGGUACUUGAUCCUGUUAGUGGCCUUGUCGGACUAGAUCCGAGGGACUUACGUUUUAUUCCAAUUUAAGUGUGGUCUAGCCUCUAAGGCGGGACUUAGGCACUUAAGUUGGAAUAAUUCAGGCGGUUCCACCACAUAUUAUAAGCAAGGCUAUCUGCAUGUUCAUCCUUCGACAUCGCAGAUAAGCCGAGCUCUAGCUUUGGAAAUCCCAUAUUCAUUGCCAUUUCUCGACAAAUAGAUAUCUCCUUGUUGUCCGGUAGGCAAUAUAGAAAGUCAUCUUCGUCAGUGCCAUUGUAUACCAAGAAUCCUGGGGGAUACUUCAGAUCCUUGGCAUAUUGCCUAGCUUCGGCAAUUUGCUCCUCCGAUAGUUUUUUUCCCUGAAGCGUGACGCACUAUAAAUUCUAAUUCCUCAGUAGAUGCUUCAGGAGCAGGGGAUUCAGAUUCUUCGGUAGCCUUCUCUUUUUGUAAUGGUAAUGGUACUUUCGCUGCAUCCGAAGGUGUAGAUUCAGUAUUCUUUUCAACAAUCUUUGCAGGCCUUGCUUCGGCGGGCACCGAGGGCCCAACUUCAGCUUCAACCUGCGUCCUGUCGACUUCGGUAGAUUUCUUUGUAUUGUUAACUUCCAUGCUAGGUGCUUCUGCAGAGGUAGGAGUUAGCGCCUUUGUGGAUUCCAUAACAGCGUCUAGUACGCUGACCAUCCUUCUUCUCUUCGGGGUUACUGAAACCACUUUUUGUACCUUCGACUGUUCUGUUUCUUGCAAUGGACUCAAAGCUUUCACUUGCUCCGCUGCUAUCUUUAAUUUUGGUUCUUCGACCGAUUCCGUCUUAGCUUUGGCAGGAGCGGGGUAACUUAACUCCAAGGCAGAAGAAGGCCCUUCAGCAAGCUUUGGCACUUCGGUCGUUUCAAUGUGCCUGGGCCGAUGUGUUAGAACUUUAAUCUUCUUUGGCUUCGGCGUAGUAGAAAUCGCCAAAGCAUCAACUCUUCUUUUCUUUCCUUGCUUUCACGAAGGAUAGUUGUAAUCUGGGUAUAUGAAACCAAUAACUUCAAAAACCCUAUUCAACCUUUUGUUGCCUCGGCCUCCGAAGACCGCUGUCAUGGCAUCAUCCUCGGCCCUUGAGUAAGCGCCGAGCAACUCAUCGCUCGUUGCGUCAGUGGCAUCUAGCCAGUCGUCGUUUGGCUCAUCAAAUUGGCUCCUGUAUUUGAAUGUGUACUUCAAGUAAACCAAGCCACCUUGGCUAGACCUAGCAGCAGUCUCCUUCGGCAUCUCCCACCCACUCCUGAGUGGCCACACCUUGAAGGCAAUUUGUUCCAGGACUAAGUCCCUGGUGCCUAUGUAAGUGCAUACUAUGUUAUAAGUAGCUUGGCACGCUUGUAUGUCGUUUCCGAGGGCAAGGGAUGGUCUCCUAAUGCCGAAGUGAGACCAUAUAGGACGUUGGAUAAUCCCCUUGAUGUCUUCCCUCUCAACCAUAUCGUUCUUCACAUAGAACCAUUCUUGCAUCCAAGCUCCCGGCCAUCUCUUGCGGAAAGUUGCAACCGGGUUGCUUACCUUAGAGCGGGUUACGAAGCCAUAGAAACCAAAGUUGUUGUGAUAUUGUUCUUUACCAGUGGCCUUCGUCUCAUAAGACAAUUCAUGCAUGUUACAGAAGCUUCUCGCAUUUGGUUCUUGUCCUUGGCUCCUCAUGGCCCAAAUGUAAACCCCUAUCUUGAUGAUGGCUUAGGGGGUAAACUGGUGAAGGUAGACUUCAAAGGUUUUCAGCACUUCGACCGGCAUACUAUCCAAAGGAAACUAGGCCCCGCUUUCAUAAAACUUCUAUUGACAACCACCUCAUCAGCUUCGGGCAGAGGGACAUUACUCUCCCCUCCAGCCCGCACAAUGGAAAUGUCACGAAAGUACCGUCCCCUCAUGGCAUCAAUCUGUCCUUGUUUGAUUGUUGACUUUCCGAAGACAACAUGACUUGUCCUCCAGGGCCGAUCUUCGGCACCCUCUUUUUAACUUUCUGCAUCAAAGUCUUCACUGUCACUGGAACCCUCAGAUAUUCCAGCUAGUGUCUCAUGUGCGAUCUUUUCUGCAUUGGUCCUCUCCAUAGCUUCGUAAAACUCGGACAGCGCCGAGUCGGCAGUCUUCUUCUCACCAGCCAUCAAAACAAAUCUUGUUGAAAUGCCGAAGCUCAAACUCACAACAAAACAAGAGAGUUUAAAAUAGCGAGCACAAUGUAAGCAACUGAAAUAGCAAAAGAAACACAUUCAAUACGAGCUCAUAUUUAUAUGCAUAGCACCCCACGGCUUGGUGGGUCCGGCAACAGUGUCGUUCGCUAUUCUAGCGAAGGGAAGGUGUUUUUUCGGACCUUCGGCUAAAGGCCUUUGUCCAUGUCGCAGUCUAAAUUUGUUAGAAGGAAACAAAUUAAUACUGUGAGGGGCUACUAUUGGGGGCCUUCCUCUUCCGAAGGUCCUCAAAAAUAUGUCUAACCAUAUGUUUUCAGCAUGAUUAGAAUAGUUACAGGAAGCUUCGGCUUUGGGAUGAAGAACUUCUCUCAUGGCAUAAUGAAGGGAGAUAAAGAAGUGGGCAACGAAGCUAAAAGCCAAAGGACCUUUGGCCUAACAUAUUGACGAAGCUCAGAAGCAUGAUGAUAACUGGAAGGGGCUAAAGACCUUAUAGUCCUCAAUAAUUCAUGUUAGGAUUAUAGGCAGUUACCAGGGACAUAAUUGUACUUUUAUCCGGGUUGUGUCACGUGCCUAUAAAUAGAUGAACAGUAAUACCAUACUGUUCACGCUGGAUUGUAAUCGCUCUCGAGCCAUUCUCGCUCUCUCAUCUUCUAACAAGCCGAAGGUAUCAUUGUAAUAUGAAUAUUGUUAAUGUUUAUUCAUGUUUAAUGAAGAUAAAUGAAUCAUAAAUACAUAAUGGAUAUUAUCUUGAUCCCUCUGUAUUCCUUCAUCUUCUUGUUUAUAUUCAUAUUCAUAUUCAUAUUUACAUAAUAUCAUAAAAAUGAUGAAGGUGUGUCCUUCAUGACCUUCGUCUAAAGAUCAUUAUAUCCGAGAGGAAAUAAUGUUUUGAAGGACGAAGGUCUUUAACCAUUAUCAAUUGUGUUGCCUUGUUCUUAAUUAAUAGCAUUUGAGAACAAGUGAACAACAGGUCUCCUAAGCGAAUAAUAUUGAGAUAAAUUUACUUGCUUAGGAACCUUACCCUUCUUACAUACCUUAAGUAGAUGACCAUGCUCACCACACAUGUAGCAGAAGCGUCGCUCAACCUGACAUGACUCUCGAUGUUUGUCUUUUUUCUUAGUGAGGGUCAUCUUGGAAGGUUCACGUCUUUGAUUCUUCAUGAGCGGACAUGAAGUGAUCAUAUGGUCCUUAUCAUUGCAUCCAAAACAUCUCCUCAUCCCUUCAUCCUUGUCUUUGUGCGGACAAGACGCAAUGAAGUGGCCUAAUUCCUUGCACUUGAAGCACCUCCUUUUUUCAUCUUCCCUUUUUGCUAUUGGAUGACAUAGAGAGAUUGAGAGCACCUAGAGGGGGGUGAAUAGGUGAUCCUGUAAAAACUUAAACUUAUAGCCACAAAACUUGGUUAAGUGUUAGCACAAUGGAAUUAAGUGGCUAAGGACCAAGCUCUUGAAAAACACAAUGGUCACAAAGAAAACAAGCACAAGAGACAUGAUGAUUUAUCCCGUGGUUCGGCCAAGUAUAACACUUGCCUACUCCAUGUUGUGGCGUCCCAAUGGACGAGGGUUGCACUCAACCCCUUUCAAGUGAUCCAAUGAUCCACUUGAAUACCACGGUUGUUUUCUUUCUUAUACUCUUUCAUGUUUGCAAGGAAUCUCCACAACUUGGAGUCUCUCGCCCUUACAACAAAGAUCAAAGUGAAAGCACUAGAGUAAGGGAGGGAAGCAACACACACAAAUCCGCAGCAAUACGCACACACAUAGCCAAGACUUGAGCUCGAAUGAAUCGCAACAAGUUCACCACUAGAACGGAGCUCAAAUCACUAAGAAAGUCAAUCAAGUGCGCGGAGAUGGAGUGUGAAAGAUUUAGAAUGCUCAAAGUAUGCUUGGGUGUCUCCUCCAUGCGCCUAGGGGUCCCUUUUAUAGCCCCAAGGCAGCUAGGAGCCAUUGGAGGCAUUCUUGGAAGGCAAUUCUUGCCUUCUGUCGGGUGGCGCACCGGACAGUCCGGUGCACCACCGGACAGCCACUGCAUCAUGUCCGGUGCGGAUCUCCUUCCAUUCCUAGCGUAGCCGACCAUUGGAUCUUCGGGCUGGUUGGCGCAUCGGACACUGUCUGGUGCACACCGGACAGUCCGGUGCCCCCAGUCGGCCGUUGGCUGGGGCCACGCGUCGCGCGCGGAUUGCGCGGCCGACCGUUGCGCUGGCGGCCGUUGGCUCACCGGAUAGUCCAGUGCACCACCGGACAGUCCGGUGAAUUAUAGCCAUACGCCGCCGACGAAUUCCCAAGAGUGGCCAGUUCGUCAGAGCCCAGCCUGGCGCACCGGACACUGUCUGGUGCACCACCGGACAGUCCGGUGCACCCAGACUGAACAGCAGUUGGCCAACUCUAUUCCAAUCCUUUUCUUUUCCUGAUUCUAGCACUUAGAUAAAUAUAUUAGUACACACGAACCAAUGUACUAAGUCUAGAACCAUACCUUGUCGAUUUGCACUUCAUCCAUCAUUUGACAUAUAAUUACUCACUCAAUAUGUGUUGGGCACUUAAUCACCAAAAUAUACUAGAAAUGGCCCAAGGGCACAUUUCCCUUUCAAUCUCCCCCUUUUUGGUGAUUUAUGCCAACAUAUCAAAAAGCAACAACUAGAAGUGCAACAUCAAUGCAAAUGAGAACAAGAAUUGUUUUUUAUUCAAAUUUGGCAUAUUUGGAGCAUUCUUUGCCACCACUUGGUUUGUUUUUGCAAAUCAACUUCAAUUUCCUAUCUCUAAGUCAAACACACUUGUUGAGGCAUAAAGAGAGGUAUUCCAAGAGAAAUUGAUCAAAGAUUCAAAAACUCCCCCUUUUUCCCAUGAUCAAACAUUCUCCCCACAAGAGACCAACUUUUGACAAUAAGGGACAACAAGAGUAUUUUGACAAAUCAAAAGUUCUAACUCUACUAUUUUCAAAAUUCUCAAGUAGUACCUGAUCCAUUUGCUUGCUUUGGCCUUAAUUUCUCCCCCUUUGGCAUCAAGCACAAAAACGGGAUCAUUUUUGGCCCUAAAACCCCAUUGCCUCACCAAAAUCGUCAAUUACGAGUAAAAAGGCAAUAAGAGCAUGGAGAUGAACUUGGAGUUAAUUACCCUCUCAUAGGAGUGCAGUGGAAGACUUUCAUGGUCCAAGUUCAUCUUUCCCUUUCAAUCCACCUUUGAGACUAGAUUGAGUAAACUCAAGCACACGGUUAGUUUCAAAGGGUCAAGUUGUAGCACAUCUCCCCCUAAAUAUGUGCAUCACUUGCAAAUGGACUUGUGAGGUCCGGGGAUCAUGUGUACAACUUGGGCACCACAAAUGAACAAUAUAGAUUGAAAUGCAUAAAUUACAUGAUCAAGGGCAUAAAACACAUGUAUGCUAUAGAUCAUUCCAAGUUAUGCGAAUCUAAGACAUUUAGCUCACUACACAGCCUGCAAAAGGUCUUCUCAUCUAAAGGCUUGGUAAAGAUAUCGGCUAGCUGGUUCUCGGUGCUAACAUAAAACACUUCGAUAUCUCCCUUUUGCUGGUGGUCUCUCAAAAAGUGAUGCCGGAUGUCUAUGUGCUUAGUACGGCUGUGUUCAAUAGGAUUAUCCACCAUGCGGAUUGCACUCUCAUUAUCACAUAGGAGUGGGACUUUGCUCAGAUUGUAGCCAAAGUCCCAGAGGGUUUACCUCAUCCAAAGUAGUUGUGUGCAACACUGUCCUGCGGCAACAUACUCGGCCUCAGCGGUGGAUAGGGCAACAGAAGUUUGUUUCUUUGAACUCCAAGACACCAGGGACCUUCCUAGGAAUUGGCACGUCCCUGAUAAACUCUUCCUAUCAACCUUGCAUCCAGCAUAAUCGGAGUCUGAAUAUCCAAUUAAGUCAAAGGUAGACCCAUUUGGAUACCAGAUCCCGAAGCAAGGCAUAGCGACUAAAUAUCUAAGAAUUCGCUUAACAGCCACAAGGUGACACUCCCUUGGGUUGGAUUGAAAUCUAGCACACAUGCAUACGCUAAGCAUAAUAUCCGGUCUACUAGCACAUAAAUAAAGCAAGGAUCCUAUCAUAGACUAGUAUGCCUUUUGAUCAACGGACUUACCUCCUUUGUUGAGGUCAACAUGUCCGUCGGUUCCCAUUGGAGUCUUUGUGGGCUUGGAGUCCUUCAUCCCGAACCGCUUGAGCAAAUCUUGCGUGUACUUCGUUUGAGAGAUGAAGGUGCCGUCCUUGAGUUGCUUCACCUGGAACCCAAGGAAGUAGUUUACUCGCCCAUCAUCGACAUCUCAAAUUUCUGAGUCAUCACCCUGCUUAACUCUUCACAAGACUUUUGGUUAGUAGAACCAAAUAUUAUGUCAUCGACAUAAAUUUGGCACACAAAUAAGUCAUCAUCACAAGUUUUAGUGAAUAGAGUUGGAUCGGCUUUCCCAACCUUGAAAGCAUUAGCAAUUAGAAAAUCUCUAAGGCAUUCAUACCAUGCUCUUGGGGCUUGCUUAAGUCCAUAGAGCGCCUUAGAGAGCUUACACACGUGGUCGGGGUACCGUUCAUCCUCAAAGCCAGGGGGUUGCUCUACGUACACCUCCUCCUUGAUUGGUCCGUUGAGGAAAGCGCUCUUCAUAUCCAUUUGGAACAACCUGAAGGAAUGGUGAGUAGCAUAGGCUAACAAAAUGAGAAUAGACUCUAGCCUAGCUACAGGAGCAAAAGUCUCCUCAAAGUCCAAACCUGCGACUUGGGCAUAACCUUUUGCCACAAGUCGAGCCUUGUUCCUUGUCACCACUCUAUUCUUGUCCUGUUUGUUGCGGAACACCCACUUGGUUCCCACAACAUUUUGCUUGGGACGUGCCACCAGGGUCCAAACUUCAUUUCGCUUGAAGUUGUUGAGCUCUUCCUGCAUGGCCAACACCCAGUCCAGAUCUAGCAAGGCCUCUUCUACCCUGAAAGGCUCAAUAGAAGAGACAAACGAGUAAUGCUCACAAAAAUUAACUAAUCUAGAGCGAGUAGUUACUCCCUUGCUUAUAUCACCCAAAAUCAGGUCGACGGGAUGAUUCCUUUGAAUCGUUGCUCGGACUAGAGUGGGAGGGGCAUGUGGUCCUUCUUCCUCCAUAACUUGAUCAUCUUGUGCUCCCCCUUGAUCACACACCUCUUCUUGAUGAACCUGUUCAUCAUCUUGAGUUGGGGGGUGCACCAUUGUUGAGGAAGAAGGUUGAUCUUGCUCUUUUUGUUCCUGUGGUCGCACAUCUCCAAUCGCCAUGGUGCGUAUUGCGGCCGUUGGAACAUCAUCUUCAUCUACAUCAUCAAGAUCAACUUGCUCUCUUGGAGAGCCAUUAGUCUCAUCAAAUACAACAUCGCUAGAGACUUCAACCAAACCCGAUGAUUUGUUGAAGACCCUAUAUGCCUUUGUAUUUGAGUCAUAACCUAACAAAAACCCUUCUAUAGCUUUGGGAGCAAAUUUGGAAUUCCUACCUUUCUUUACUAGAAUGUAACAUUUACUCCCAAAUACACGAAAAUAUGAAACAUUGGGUUUGUUACCAGUUAGAAGUUCAUACGACGUCUUCUUGAGGAGGCAAUGAAGGUAGACUCGGUUUAUGGCGUGGCAAGCUGUGUUCACAGCUUCCGACCAAAACCGUUUGGGCGUCUUGAAUUCACCAAGCAUCGUCCUCGCCAUGUCUAUAAGUGUCCUAUUCUUCCUCUCUACCAUACCGUUUUGCUGUGGUGUGUAGGGAGCAGAGAACUCGUGCUUGAUUCCUUCCUCCUCAAGGUACUCCUCCACUUGAAGAUUCUUGAACUCGGACCCGUUGUCGCUCCUUAUCUUUUUCACCUUGAGCUCAAAUUCGUUUUGAGCUCUCCUUAGGAAGCGCUUUAGGGUCCCUUCGGUUUCUGUUUUAUCCUGCAAAAAGAAUACCCAAGUGAAGCGGGAAAAAUCAUCAACAAUAACAAGACCAAACUUACUUCCCCCAAUGUUGAGGUAGGCGACGGGUCCGAAGAGGUCCAUGUGAAGUAGCUCCAAAGGUCUUGAUGUGGUCAUCACAUUCUUGCUAUGAUGAGAACUUCCCACCUGUUUACCUGCUUGACAAGCUGCACAAGGUCUAUCUUUUUCGAAAGUUACAUUGGUUAGACCUAACACAUGUUCUCCCUUUAGAAGUUUAUGAAGGUUCUUCAUCCCAACAUGUGCGAGACAGUGAUGCCACAGCCAGCCCAUACUAGCCUUAGCGAUUAAGCAUGCAUCUAGAACAGCCUCCUCCUUCGAAAAAUCAACUAAAUAGAGUUAGCCGUCUAGUACACCCUUAAAAGCUAAUGAACCAUCACUCCUCCUAAAGACAAACACAUCUACAUUGGUAAAUAAGCAAUUGUAACCCAUAUUACAUAGUUGACUAACGGACAACAAGUUAUACCCGAGCGAUUCAACUAAAAACACAUUAGAUAUGGAAUGCUCGAAUGAAAUAGCUAUUUUUCCUAGUCCUUUAACCUUGCCUUGAUUCCCGUCUCCAAAGAUGAUCGAAUCUUGGGAAUCUUUGCUUUUGACGUAGGAGGUGAACAUCUUCUUCUCCCCCGUCAUGUGGUUUGUGCAUCCGCUGUCGAUGAUCCAACUUGAGCCCCCGGAUGCAUAAACCUGCAAGGCAAUUUAGGCUUGGGUCUUAGGUACCCAACUCUUGUUGGGUCCUACAAGGUUAGAUACAAUAGUCUUUGGGACCCAAAUGCAAGUUUUGUCUCCCUUGCACUUGGCCCCCACCUUCCUAAAAACCACUUUCUUAUUUUUAUAUGAAAGUACAAAAUCAGUGUUGCAGGCAUGAAAAACAGUAGCAGAUUCAUUUUGCAUUUUCCUAGGCAUAUGAUGAACAACAUUUUUUCUAGGCAUAUUUCUACUAUGCACAAAGGAAGAACUUGAAACAAUCAUGGUAUGUGAAUCAUAAGCAUGAGCAUUCCUAGAAAAUUUUCUAUCAUAAAUAAAUGUAUGAUUCUUUUGACUACUACUAGCCAUAGGAGCCUUCCCUUUCUCCUUGUUGAGAAUGGGAGCCCUUUGACUUGUUAAGUUCUUGGCUUCCCUUCGAAAGCCGAGCCCAUCCUUAAUUGAGGGAUGUCUACCAAUGGUGUAGGCAUCCCUAGCAAAUUUUAAUUUGUCAAAGUCAUCUUUGCAAGUCUUAAGUUGGGCAUUAAGACUUGCUACUUCAUCAUUAAGUUUUGUAAUAGAAGUAAGGUGCUCAACACAUGCAUCAACAUUGAAGUCCUUACACCUAUUACAAAUCACAACGUGCUCUACACAAGAACUAGAUUUAUUUACUACUUCUAGCUUAGCAUUUAAUUCAUCAUUCAAGAUCUUCAAGCUAGAAAUAGAUUCAUUGCAAGUAGAUAACUCAGAAGCUAGUAAUUCAUUCCUUUUAAUCUCUAAGGCAAGAUACUUUUGAACACUAAUAAAUUUGUCAUGUUCCUCAUACAAAAUGUCAUCUUGCCUCUCUAGCAGUCUAUCUUUUUCAUUCAAGGCAUCAAUCAAUUCAUUAAUCUUUUCUACUUUAGCUCUAUCUAAUCCUUUGAACAAGCUAGUGUAGUCUACUUCAUCAUCACUAGAGUCCUCAUCACUAGAAGUAGAGUACUUAGGAGUUUCUUGAGCGUUUACCUUCUUCUCCUUUGCCAUUAGGCAAGUAUGGCGCUCGUUGGGGAAGAGCGACGAUUUGUUGAAGGCUGAGGCGGCGAGUCCUUCGUCGUCGGAGUCGGAUGAAGAACAAUCCGAGUCCUACUCUUUGCCAAGAUGCGCUUCGCCCUUCGCCUUCUUGUAGGCCUUCUUUUUCUCCCUCUUCCCAUUCCUUUCUUGUUCCUGGUCAUUUGUAUUAUCGGGACAUUGAGCAAUAAAAUGACAUGUCUUACCGCACUUGAAGCAGGAACGCUUUCCCUUUGCCUUGUUGUUGUUUGAGUACUCCUUGCGUCCCUUCAAUGCGGUCUUGAAACGCUUGAUAAUGAGGGCCAUUUCAUCCUCGUUUAGCCUGGCCACCUCAACUUGCGCCACCUUGCUAGGUAGCGCCUCCCUGCUACUUGUUGCUUUGAGAGCAACUGUUUGAGGCUCGUAGAUGGGCAUUGGACCAUUCAAUGCCUCAUCAACUUAUCUUGCUUCCCUAAUCAUAAUACGCCCGCUUAUAAACUUUCCGAGUAUUUCCUCAGGUGUCAUCUUGGUGUACCUAGGAUUCUCACAGAUUGAGUUCACAAGAUGAGGAUCAAGUACAGUGAAGGACCUGAGCAUAAGUCGGACGACGUCGUGGUCCGUCCAUCUCGUGCUUCCAUAGCUCCUGAUUUUGUUGACCAGGGUCUUGAGCCUGUUGUACGUUUGCAUUGGCUCCUCUCCCCUGAUCAUUGCGAACCUUCCCAGUUCGCCUUCCACCAACUCCAUCUUGGCGAUCAUGGUGGCAUCGUUCCCCUCAUGAGAAAUCUUGAGGGUGUCCCAAAUUUGCUUGGCGUUAUCCAAGCCGCUCACCUUAUGGUACUCGUCCCUGCAUAAGGAUGCUAGCAAAACAGUGGUAGCUUGUGCAUUUUUAUGGAUUUGCUCAUUGAUGAAAAUGGGGUUGUCAGUAUUAUCAAAAAGCAUUCUGUUUUCAACAAUCUCCCAAAUACUUGGAUGGAGAGAGAAUAAGUGACUACGCAUUUUGUGACUCCAAAAUGAGUAGUCUUCUCCAUCAAAGUGUGGAGGUUUCCCAAGUGGAAUUGAAAGUAAAUGAGCACUAGAGUUAACCGGAAUACGAGAAUAAUCAAAAGAAAAGUUUGAAUUAACCGGUUUCUUUUUCUCGUCGUCGUCGUCUCUUGGGGAAGAAGAGGACUCGUCGCUGUCGUAGUAGACGAUCUUCUUGAUGCGCCUCUUCUUCUUCCCGUCUCUUUUCUUAUGACUCGAGCCAGAGUUAGAAGGUUUAUCAUCUCUUGGCUCGUUGACGAUGGACUCCUUUGUCUUGUCGUUGACCACCAUCCCCUUUCCCUUAGGAUCCAUCUCUUCGGGCGAUUAGUCCCUUGCGUGAAGAGAACGGCUUCGAUACCAAUUGAGAGCACAUAGAGGGGGGGGGGUGAAUAGGUGAUCCUAUAAAAACUUAAACUUAUAGCCACAAAACUUGGUUAAGUGUUAGCACAAUGAAAUUAAGUGGCUAAGGACCGAGCUCUUGAAAAACACAAUCGUCACAAAGAAAACAAGCACAAGAGACACGAUGAUUUAUCCCGUGGUUUGGCCAAGUAUAACACUUGCCUACUCCACGUUGUGGCGUCCUAAUGGAUGAGGGUUGCACUCAACCCCUUUCAAGUGAUACAAUGAUCCACUUGAAUACCACGGUUGUUUUCUUUCUUAUACUCUUUCCCGUUUGCGAAGAAUCUCCACAAUUUGGAGUCUCUCGCCCUUACAACAAAGAUCAAAGUGAAAGCACUAGAGUAAGGGAGGGAAGCAACACACACAAAUCCGCAGCAAUACGCACACACACAGCCAAGACUUGAGCUUGAAUGAAUCGCAACAAGUUCACCACUAGAACGGAGCUCAAAUCACUAAGAAAGUCAAUCAAGUGCGCGGAGACGAAGUGUGAAAGAUUUAGAAUGCUCAAAGUAUGCUUGGGUGUCUCCUCCAUGCGCCUAGGGGUCCCUUUUAUAGCCCCAAGGCAGCUAGAAGCCGUUGGAGGCAUUCUUGGAAGGCAAUUCUUGCCUUCUAUCGGGUGGCGCACCGGACAGUCCGGUGCACCACCAGACAGCCACUGUAGCAUGUCCGGUGCGGAUCUCCUUCCAUUCCUGGCGCAGCCGACCGUUGGAUCUUCGGGCUGGUUGGCGCACCGGACACUGUCUGGUGCACACCGGACAGUCCGGUGCCCCCAGCCAACCGUUGGCUGGGGCCACGCGACGCGCGCGGAUUGCGAGGCCGACCGUUGCGCUGGCGGCCGUUGGCUCACCGGACAGUCCGGUGCACCACCGAACAGUCCGAUGAAUUAUAGCCGUACGCCGCCGACAAAUUCUCGAGAGUGGCCAGUUCGCCAGAGCCCAGCCUGGUGCACCAGACACUGUCCGGUGCACCGCCGGACAGUCCUGUGCACCCAGACUGAGCAGCAGUUGGCCAACUCUUUUCCAAUCCUUUUCUUUUCUUGAUUCUAGCACUUAGACAAAUAUAUUAGUACACACAAACCAAUGUACUAAGUCUAGAACCAUACCUUCUUGUCGAUUUGCACUUCAUCCAUCAAUUUGGCAUAUAAUUACUCACUCAAUAUGUGUUGGGCACUUAAUCACCAAAAUAUACUAUAAAUGGCCCAAGGGCACAUUUUCCUUUCAGAGAUGAUCAGUGCAAACAACAUGACUAAUUGAUUUUUUACCUUUUUCCUUGUUCAUGUUGAUUGCUUCAUUUAUUGCUUUAGGAACAUCCUUCUUAUUGAGUUUAACACUUACUGCGGUUUCUCCCGUGUCAAGCUUCUUCACCAUGCGUCCAUGUAUAUCUUGAGUUGGUUGAGCAAUGCGUCUUCUCCUUAGUUGUUUUGCUUUCUUGUUCCUUUCUUUAUUGAUGAGCAACUUUUCUUUUGAUCCUGCAGCUUGAUGCUCAUUCAAAAAUUGGCUUUCUUUUGAGCAACAUGGGUUAGCACAUGGUGAUAUAUUAUCUAAAUGCGCACGUGUGCAAGAAUGGGGUUCACAUGAAUUUAUGUUCGCAAUUACAACCUCAUGAGCAACAUCAAGCAUGAUAUGUCUAUCCAAAAGAUUAUCAUGAUAAUAAGACAACACAUCAUAUUUUUCAGUAAGAGCAAGUUUAUCAUGACUUAGCAAUUCUACUUGCCUCUCAAGCAUGGCAUUUUCAAUUUUAAGUUGAGCAACACAAGAUAAAGCAUCAUCAUUAUUUCUUUGCUCAAUUAAAACUGAAUCAUACCGUUGGACCAAAUCAUCAUGAGAGCACCUUAGCUCCUCAUGUUCUUUGGUCAUCUUCUCCAGGCUGUUGUUGGUUUUGAUGAGAGUCUCUUCCAGCCUGAGAAGCAUCUCGCCUUGUUCCUUGUUUCUCCUCAAUAGCUUAACCAAGAGCACUUUGUCUUCUUUGUUGAGAUGGGUGUAGAACCGGUGAAUCUCCUCUUCUUCCACACCGUCGGUCUCAUUUUCCCUGUCAUUAUUAUUAGUGGAAGCAAUACAGGAAAAUGUAUCUUGUGGUGAUGAAGACUCAUCCUCGCUAUCAUCCUCAUAUUCCUCCUCAUCAUCGCUUUUGUCUCCACUAUCAUUGUUAGCAAUAAGACAUUUAUAACUAGUGGAAGACACGCCUGUCAGUGAGGUGGAUUCAUCAUUUGGUUUCCAUCGUUUUUCUUCUCCCUUCGAAAGGUUAGUACCACAAGCAACAUAGGGAGUAGAAGUAGUACAAUUGGACUCAGAAUAUUUUAUUUUAAUUCUAGUCCAUAGAUCAUGAGCAUCGACAAGAACAUCACUAUUACUAUCUAUGACAGCAAAAUAAACGUCCUUGCUAAGGGAAUUGACUAGGAUGUCAUAGGCUUGAUAAUUUUGACGCAAACAUCUUAGAUCAUGCUCAGAUGGAUUUUUCAUAUCAAUAUUAAUGGGCAAAACACUAGCAUCAAAUAUUUGCUCUACUUCAGGACCGAAACUCCUAAAAGUAUUAUAUAAAUGAAAAGACCAGGAUGCAUAGUUAGAGCCAUCAGAAUUAAGAAGUUCUACAGUUACCUCUUGUGACGACAUCAUCAUCUCCGGACGGCUAUGCCCACACUGGAGAGGCCUAGCUCUGAUACCAAUUGAAAGUUCCCUAUGCCUGGGAAUAGGAUCUGGAUGUCCCCUAGAGUGAGGUGAAUAGGCGAAUAAUUAUUAUUACUCUAUAACUGAAAAUUCUUACUCUACUCGAAGGCUGGAUCACAAUGGAAUGAAAGACCCUUUGAGUAGGUUGCAGCGGAAUUGAAGUUCCUGUCUUAAAAUACCCUGCACUUCGAAGACAGCUUGUACCACAUAUAAGUAUUGAAGUGCAAGUAUAAAAAGCAAAUAAGACAGAGAAACAACACACAACAUAGAGCAGAGCACACAGACACAGGGAUUAUCCCGAGGUUCGGCCAAGCCUGAAAUGCUUGCCUAGUCCUCGUUGGAGUUAGCCACACCUUGGCUUGGAGUCUAUUUCAACUCCUUCCUCCAUUUGCUCAAAUCUGUCAGUGCGACAGAUAGAGCCUUCCACUAUGUUGAUAUCAGUUACAACGAUGUCGUGGCUGCUUACAAUCUUCUCGACAACACUCCAGCAAAGUAACAAUGCACCCAAUAUUUUGCUCUAGCUCUCAGCAGCACUUCCCUUCUCUCUAACGGCUUAUAACUUCGCCUCUACACAAACUAGAGAGAUACACAAGAGAGAGAGAGAGAGAGGAUUGAUCCAAAUGAUGUAUGGACUUGUUGGCUGCUCUUGUGUACUUGUUGGAGGCGCCUAGGGUCCCUUUUAUAGUCCAAAAUGGCCUAGGAGCCGUUGGAGCUUCAUUUGGAAGCUCCCAGCCUUCCCUGUUUGCGAGUGCACCGGACAGUGCACAGUAACGGAUCUGAUUGACAGUUUCCUUCUCUGUCCUGUGCACAGGACAGGUUACUAUUCACUUUCCUGUGCACCGGACAUGUUACUAUUCACUGUCCUGUGCACCAGAUAGGUUACUAUUCACUGUCUUGUGCACCGGACAGGUAAUUAUUCACUGUCCUGUGCACCGGACAAAGUAACUAUUCUUUGUCAUGUGCACUGGACAAAGUAUCUAUUCACUAGCCUAUGCACCAAACAUGUUACUAUUCACUGUCCUGUGCACCAGCCAGUUACUAUUCAUUGUCCUGUGCACCAGCCAACAACACACUAAGUGUUUUUUCCUCCAUUCUUUCUCUGUUUGACUUCAACUUUUGGGAGGAUUUUCCUGAGACUUAAACAAACAAAUUUAGAGUAUAAUCCAAUUGACUUAGUCCUAUAAACUUACCUCUUUCUUGUUGUUCUCCUAGCUUUUCUGUUUCUCCUCAAGCAUAGCUCAGAAUGGCACUUUCUCUACAGAAAGAGUUAGAGAGCAAACAAAAGCACCAAACUUGUAGUAAGAGGUGUAUGCAACAUGGUUGAACACUUAAACCUUACAUACUUAACAUUUUUCAUCAUUUUACCUAAUUUGGCAUGUUUGAGGUCGAUGUUGGACUCUAAACCAUCAAGUCAACUUGACUUGAUCUAGAUUGACAUAUCUGAGCUCCAACUCCCUUGUUCACAUCUCGAGCUUGAUCUUGACCCUUAUGACUUACACCACAUAACUGUAGAUGUUACCUCAUUGGUUGUAAGUGAUGUCCUUAUGUAGUGAUCCUUGAUGCACCAUAACUCUUCUUAACUCGAUCAACCUUGACUUUGCAAGUCUUCUUCUUCACCCUUGUCUUUGGGUUCGUGGUCUCCUUGACCUUCUCCCGUGCACUCGGUACCUCGAAGCUCUUCUUGCUUCCAUCCUUGGCUUGAUCGGUUGUCUCCGAGUUAUGCACAUCGAGUCUCACUUAAGCAAUGUCCAUCUUACUUGUGAUGUCCAUUAUCUAUAGAUAAUCCAGUCUUUGGACCAUCACACUUGUUCACUUGUGUUGAACCCUUGUAGCUUUUGAUUAAGCACCUAUUCAACAGUUAGCACACUUGUAAGUCCUAUAAUUGGGUUGUCAUCCAAACCACCAAAACUCACAAGAGAGCUUUCACCUAUAAAUUCCAAGUCGUUGCUUCUCUCUACUCCAUCCAGUUCGAACUUUGACGGGAAAAAUUAGAUGCGUCGGGUCACCAUUGAGCCAUAGCCUCGCGCCACCGCCCAAGCUUCACAUCGAUCGUCGUCCUUACUCGGUACCUCGCCUGGUGGGUGUAACACCACUGGUGUUACUGUUACUAAAACUUGAGCAUAAUAUCAUGAGCAUUGGCAUAUCAUGUGCUUGUUACACGUAGAGUGCAUUCACUAGGUAAAAAUUUCAAACAAGUUGUAAUGAUAUGACUUGAUAUGUGAUUAACCCUAUGGUAGAGUGCUUAACCCUAAAUUAGGGCUUAUGGGUGAAAGUGAAUCCCAAAUAAGUUAAAACCUCAAAAGACAUGAGAAAUGAUCAUAAGGUAUCAGCUUUGAUGGACUUUGGUGGCACCAAAACCCUAAUGUGCCUGAAACGCUAAAAACAAACCCUAGAAACCCUAAUUGAAACCCUAGGGGUUAUGCGGUGGAACCGCCCGAAUUAUUCCAGCUUAAGUGCCUAAGUCACGCCUCAGGGGCCGUAACACACUUAAAUCGGAAUAACCCUUCAGUCCCUCUGAUCUAGUCUGAUAAAGCCACUUAACCAGGAUCAAAUACCACACACUCACUCAAAGGUGAGUCACAGAAGAAAUACAAUAAAACAGGAAAACCUCAAAUUAAAGUACCGAGUUAUUACAUAAAUCAGAGUUUUCCAAGUAGUUGGUAAAAGUUCACAAAAUAAAAUGCAGCGGAUAAUCGAUAUCGUCGGUAGCGAGGAAUUGGGCAAGGCCUAGCCCACUACUCCUCCUGCUCCUCUCCUGCUGGAGCAGCAUCCCACUCGACCGUCCAACCCGGUGGCAGGGUUGUAGGCCAAGUCACACCAUCAACCAUAUCCUGAAGCGUACCUGCAAAAAUUAUGCCACAAGAAAGGCUGAGUAUACUAAUACUCAGCUAGACUUACCCGGUGUGAGGAAACUACUCCUCUACCUCCAGACCAUGCAGUUGUUUGGCUGAGGGGUUUGAUUUGCCAAAAGCACUAGCUGAGUCUAAAAUCAAUUUUUAGCUUUUCAAAUUCUAGCAUCAUUAUCUUAGCUAAGUUUGCUCCUUCUAAGCAUACAUGGUAGCAAGCAUUUAGUACAAUCAAUAAGUUAUCUCAUGUAAACCUCAUUUCACUUCUUACUCAAUGUAGUACAAGGGGUCAAGCAGUCUCAUUAGCUGCGAGAAGCAGACGAUUCGAAUCGAGUUUUUAAACCUUGCAAGGUAAACCUAAACACGCGACAUGUCAGGGCACUCCGUCCCCACACACGUCAACCGUCCACAUCGAUUCCCCGUUCGCGGCCAGGGCUCACCGCCUUGGCAUACAAUGCUCCACUGACCCCGGCUGCCGUCGUGCAGUGACCGCACUUGUACCCACCAUAACUAGCAUGGGAGACCCAGUCUCAGGUCACGGAGGAGAAAAGUCCACGCCCGGCUUCACUCAGGUACUAGGUUUACCGUUUACCAUAUUUCCCGACAUGUGUUUAGUACGUUCAAACGCUUGACUCAGGUAUCCACACAUUAAUCCUUAAUUCCUUUUCCCGUCUCAUGGACAAGGCAUUCUCCCAAGAUCCAAGUCCAUAGACUAUCAUAGAGCCCGUUAUCAAGAUGAAUACAAUCAAUUCCUGACCUCGCGCGAGUGCUAGAAAAAUCACUUGACUUCUACCGAGAUCCUGAUUAGCAUAGCAGCUACUCGACCUAGCAUACUAGUAUCCAUCUCAAAAAGGAAUCCUGAGUUCAUGCAACUAAAGGUUUCAAGCAACUCCUACACUUAAGUGCACAUUACAAGCCUACAAACAUUUAAGUAUAGUAAGGUAGCAUAUAUAUAUACGGUUAUGCAUAAAACCGGGGCUUGCCUUCGAAUGCUGGGGCUGCGGGGAGAUCCUCGAUGGCAGUCUCGGGAGCUUGCUCCUGGUCUUCCUCGUGGACAGCUCCUUGCUCGGGGAUGAGCACGUACUCUCCAUCAGCGAGAUUGCAAUCUAAUGAAUGCAAUGAGUAAGAUAUAUGCAUGGCAUGAUAUGCAAUUUUGCAAUUAAAAUUUGAUGGGGGAUGAUCAAUUUAAUAAGGUAGAGCUUAAUCUUGCUACUGAAGGUUUUUUGGCACACUUUAGCAAAUUAGGGUUAAGUUUGGUUAAGAUAAUUGUUAAGUUCAUUUUGGUGUUCCACUGAUUUCUUUUUACUGUCUUAGUGGGAGUUUAUUAAGAUUUCUAGCUGAAUUCAUUGGAGUGAGAUUUAUUAUUCCCUCUCUUCUUUUCUAUUUCUUUUGUGCUUUUAAGGUGGGUUUGAACUACAAGAUAGCUUAAUAAAUUUCCAAAAAUUCUGAAAAAAAUACAGUGGCUUCUUACUGGUGUAUAAGUCUCUAUCUCAAAAUUUGGGGCUUAAAAAGUGAGUGGUUCUCUCUGUAUAAAAUUAUCAAAUAUUAGGGCAGAGGCGUGUUUUGAACUACAACCUUCUUUUAACAGGGGUUAUUGUCCAAGACUUAUUUUUGCUGACAUUUAAGUGUUAUAAAUGACUUUGUGCAAAUUUUCAGCCACUAAUACUCAUUAGUUAUUUUAUUAUGAUUUUCCAAAGUUUCUAGCCAUAGGGGUGCUUUCUACUACCAUUAUAUUUGAAAAAUAUCAAACAACAGAUUUCUAAUUUUUCCUAUCUUCUUCUUUGUGCAAGAGCAAUCAUUUUGAAAAUUGGUAGCUUUUUGCAUAAGGGAAAGGUGGUAGGAAUUUCUUGAACUAAAUGGUCUUUUUCAUGAAGUAUUGGCAAUGAGUAUUAUUUGUAGCUUUCAAUUGGGUUUGCAUUUUUCUCUGGUGGUCUACUUCAUUAUUAAUGUUGGGGUUGUGCUUCGGUACGCCGAAGGUCUCACACGAAGAAGCAGCUUCGGCCAAAGUCGUUUCUAAGAGAUGGCCGAAGGUCCCUUUUCAUGGAGCUUCGGCGUUUUAAACCGACAUAGAGGCAGAAUGACCUUUUUAUACAUGUAUGUCCGAGUCAAUGUUGUAAACUUCCGCAAGGGGCAUAAUUGUAAUUUGUCACAGGCUGCGACCUGUGUCUAUAAAUAGAUGAACAGUACCUCUGUACUGUUCACGCGAACCUGCUUUUUGCCUUCGCAUCACAUUCGCACUUUUUGCCUUCCGCAAGACCGAAGGUACAUUUGUACUUCAAAGUCAUUUAUAUUCAUUAAUACAAGUAGAGAUAAUUCUAUGAUAAUAUUUACAUGUUUAUUUCAUGAUUUAUGUGAAUGCUUUAUUCUUCAUUGUUAUGCUUACAAAGGUAUGUUCUUUGUAACCUUCGUCCGAGAUGCUAUAUAUCCCGAAGGGAUAUAUCGUCAUGAAGGACGAAGGACCUUAAUACUUAACAUUUUCCGUGUUGCCUUGUUCUUAAUUCGAAGCAUUUGAGAACAAGUCCCCAACAUUGGCGCCCACCUCCGGUCAACUCACUUCCACAUUUCUGAGCUGAUGGCUUCGUUCAACACUCAAGCUGGAGCUGCUUCGGCUUCGAAGCUGGUGCUCCCGAUAACAGGCGGUUCUUGCUCAGAGCCAGCUAACAAAAAGCAGAAGAAGGAGGCUCAGAGAAGGGUGCAGCAUGUUGGAGUGCAGGGACCCUUCAUUAAGUCAAAAUGGUCUCACAUUCCAAUUACCUUCUCUCAGGAAGAUCUUCAGCUCAAGGACUAUCCUCACAAUGAUGCUAUGGUCAUUUCUUGUGUGAUCAAAGGGUUUCUGGUUCACAAUGUCCUAGUUGACACAGGCAGUGCAGCUGACAUUAUAUUUGCCAAAGCCUUCAGACAGAUGCAAGAGCCUGAAGACAAGAUUCAUGAUGCUACGCACCCUCUUUGUGGCUUCGGAGGGCGGCAGAUUGUGGCACUCGGGAAGAUUACCAUGCCGGUAACCUUCGGAUUUGUUAAUAACACAAGGACUGAGCAAAUUGUGUUUGAUAUUGUUGACAUGGAAUACCCCUACAACGCCAUCAUUGGUCGUGGUACCCUAAAUGCUUUUGAAGCAAUUCUUCAUCCAGCUUAUCUCUGCAUGAAGAUACCUUCGGACCAAGGGCCUAUUGCUAUUCAUGGGAGUCAGGAAGCUGCCAGAAGGGCCGAAGGAAGCUGGACUGAUUCCAAGGCAAUCCAUAAUAUAGAUGGAGUUGAAGCUUGUGAACAGUACAAGUUCAGGAGGGAAAAAGCAGCUUCGGCUGAUCAGCCGAAGCCCAUGCUGCUGUGUGAGGAUAUAGCAGAGCAGAAGGUGCUAUUGGGCUCGCAAUUAUCUGAAGAUCAAGAGAAAACCUUGAUAAGGUUUUUAUUCAACAAUAAAGAUGUUUUUGCAUGGUCAGCCAAUGAUCUUUGUGGAGUGAAUCGGGAUGUUAUUGAACAUUCGCUCAAUGUUGACCCAUCCUUCAGACCCCGCAAGCAGAGGCUUCGGAAAAUGUCUGAUGACAAGGCCGAAGGGGCUCGCAACGAAGUAAAAAGACUCCUAAGUGCAGGAGUUAUCAGAGAAGUGAAGUAUCCAGAAUGGCUAGCUAACACUGUUAUGGUGAAGAAGGCCAAUGGAAAGUGGAGAAUGUGUAUUGAUUUCACAGAUCUCAACAAGGCUUGUCCGAAGGAUGAGUUCCCGCUGCCAAGGAUAGACUCUUUAGUUGAUGCAGCAGCUUCUUCGGAACUCAUGAGUCUCCUGGAUUGUUACUCAGGCUAUCAUCAAAUCUGGAUGAAAAAGGAGGAUGAGCCGAAGACUAGUUUCAUAACCCCAAGUGGUACAUAUUGCUAUCUUCGGAUGCCUGAGGGGCUUAAGAAUGCUGGAGGGAGUUUCAGCAGGAUGACUGCGAAGGUUCUCCAAUCUCAGAUAGGCAGAAAUGUGUUGACCUAUGUUGAUGACAUUAUUGUAAAAAGCACGAAGCAAGAAGACCAUAUUGCUGAUCUGCAGGAGACCUUCGCCAGCUUCAGACAAGCUGGUCUGAAGCUGAAUCCAGAAAAAUGUGUCUUCGGAGUAAAGAAGGGUAAGUUCCUUGGAUGCUUGGUUUCAACAAAGGGAAUUGAAGCUAACCCAAAUAAAAUCGAAGCUAUACUUCGAAUGGAGCCACCAACCACAAGAAAGGGGGCCCAAAGAUUGACAGGAAGACUGGCAUCUCUUAACAGAUUUAUAUCCAGAUCAGCGGAAAGAAAUCUACCCUUCUUCGAGGUGCUAAAAUCAGCUGAAGUCUUUCAAUGGGGCCCAGCUCAACAAAAAGCUUUCGAAGAACUCAAGCAAUACCUGAUAGAUCUAACAACAUUAACUCCACCAAUGCCAGGGGCUCCUCUGUUGUUGUAUGUGGCAGCUUCGCACUCAGCAGUAAGUGCGGCACUUGUGCAGGAGAAGUUUGAUGGACAAAUCAAGAAGCAGGUCCCAGUAUAUUUUGUAUCUGAGGUCCUUAGUGUCUCAAAGAAAAAUUAUACAGAACUGGAGAAGGUGUUGUAUGCCGUUCUAAUGGCAUCCAGGAAGCUUCGGCAUUAUUUUCAGACAUAUAAUAUUAUUGUUCCUUCUUCGCAGCCGUUGAAAGAUAUCAUGAGAAAUAAAGAAGCUACUGGCCGAAUUGGAAAAUGGGCUGCGGAGCUUAAUGAAUUUUACAUUGAUUAUGUGCACAGAUCCUCGAUCCAGUCUCAAGCAUUGGCAGAUUUUAUUGCCGACUGGACGCCAGGGGCUCAGGGCGAAGAAGCGAAUAAAGAUGCCGAAGCAUGGACAGUGUUUUGUGAUGGCUCCUGGGGAACCUUCGGAGCAGGAGCAGCUGCUGUUUUGGUUUCACCGUCCAAGGUUAAAACUUGCUAUGCAGCAAGACUGGACUUCAGCUGCACAAAUAAUAUUGCUGAGUACGAAGCCUUGCUCCUGGGUCUUCGGAAACUAAAGGCGAUGGGGAUCAGGAGAGCGAUCCUUAAAACUGAUUCUCAGAUUGUUUCGGGUCAUAUUGACAAAAGUUGCAAGGCUAAAGACCCGAAGCUUGAAAAAUACCUAGACACAGUCCGAAGGAUCGAAGCUUCCUUCGAAGGAUUUUCUGUUAAGAAUAUCCCUCGAGGGCAAAAUGAACAUGCUGAUUUGUUAGCCAGGUCUGCAGCACAGGGGCUGCCGCUACCUUCGGAUGUAUUCUUCGAAACAAUAAAGGCACCUUCAGUAGAGUUACUUGAAAGAGCAGUUCUUACUAUUUCUCCUGUGUACAGUGAAGAUUGGAGAACUGAAAUAAUUUCUUACCUUCAGGGCAACUUCCUAUCAGAUGACGAAGCUUAUAAUAAAAGAAUAGAGGCAAGAGCUCGUCCGUAUAUCAUUAUAGAAGGGGAGUUAUACAAGCAUGGAGUUUGUGCCCCGCUGCUCAAGUGCUUGUCUAGAGCUGAAGGUAUAGAGUUGAUGAAGGAGAUACAUGCAGGCCUUUGUGGAUCCCACAUCGGAUCCAGGCCGUUACUUGGAAAAGUGUUCCGUCAAGGAUUUUAUUGGCCGAAGGCAGCUUCGGAUGCAGCUGAGUUAGUUCAAAAGUGCGAAGGUUGUCAGAAAUGUGCAAGAGAUCAAAAACAACCUUCGUCUUUGACACAGCUAAUACAACCCAUCUGGCCAUUGCAAAGGUGGGGCCUCGAUUUGCUGGGCCCAUUACCACCGGCUCAAGGCAAUCUGAAAUAUGUUGUAGUUGCUGUGGAAUAUUUUUCCAAGUGGAUUGAGGCGAAGCCAUUAGCUACAAUAACUUCGGCCACUGUCCAAAAAUUUUUCUGGCAGAAUAUUGUCUGUCGCUUCGGAGUGCCGAAGGCUAUAACUGUAGAUAAUGGAACACAAUUUGACUCCGAAGAAUUCAGAAAUUUUUGUGAUCAAAUUGGCACGAAGAUCCACUUUGCGUCAGUCAGGCACCCGGAGUCGAAUGGGCUUGUUGAAAGGGCCAACGGCAUCAUAAUGACAGGAAUAAUGAAGCUAAUCUUUAAUCAACCAAGGGGAAAGUGGCCAGAUCAGCUUACCAAAGUGGUAUGGAGCCAUAACACAACAACAUCAAGAUCUACAGGCUUUACCCCAUUUAAGUUGUUAUUUGGUGACGAAGCAAUAACCCCGGAAGAAGCCAAAGCUGGAUCAAUAAGAGUGGUAGCUUCGGCAGAAUCAGGUCCCGAAGAUACUUGUCUCGUGGAAAAAGAUGCCUUAGAAGGGAUCAGGCUUCAGGCCGUGGAGAAUAUCAAUAAGUACCAGGCUGAAACAGUUAAAUGGCGAGAUAGAAAGGUCCGGCUAAAAAAUAUUGAGCCAGGACACUUGGUGCUUCGGAGAGUGGCCAAUCCGGAUACAGUGGGCAAAUUGCAACUGAAAUGGGAAGGGCCUUUCUUAGUAGCAUCUUCGUCAAGGCCUGGUUCGUACAGACUGAAGGACAUGGAUGGCAAUGAAAUUCCAAGAUCUUGGAAUGCGGAUGAGCUUCGGCGGUUUUAUGCAUAACUCGAUGUAAUUUUGACUUUUCUUUUCUUUUUCAUGGCACCCUUUUCCUUUCUAAAGGGGGAGAAAGGUUUUUAAUGGGGCCAUCAUAUGUAAUUUCCUUUUUAGUUUUAUAAGAGCAAAAUCCCCCAAAGAAUGUAAAUGUAAAAGCUGAGAGCGCACCAUCGAGUGCCGAAACUAAAAAAGAGAAGAAGCUCCAAAGACGUCCCUAAGGGGAUGCAGAGCUCACAGCGAAAAGUCAACGCUGAUUCCGCCAAAAGUAAAAGGCGAAGAAGCUCCAAAGUCGUUCCUAAGGGAAUGCAGAGCUUAUACCGUCUAAGUAAAAGACGAAGAAGCUCCAAAGACGUCCCUAGGGGGAUGCAGAGCUUACAGCGAAAAGUCAACGCUGAUACUGCCUAAGUAAAAGGCAAAGAUGCUCCAAAGUCGUUCCUAAGGGAAUGCAGAGCUGACGUGUGUUUGCUCCUAAGAAAAUGAUGGAUGAGUGUGGCUUCGGACAUACGCUUCGGACAUUCAUUUGCACAUUACAUCAUGGCAUUUGCAUGCAUAAGCAUUCAUUCAUAGCAUUUGUGUUCCUAAAUGGUUGCUUCGGCACAGAGAAAAGUUUCGGAUAAAUGGUUUGUUAUGAUUCGUUAUGUAAAAGAAAGGUUUCGAAGAAGUGGUUUUUUAUGAAUCGUUGUGUAUAAGAGUAGCAGUCUUUUAUGUUUUGUUAUGUAAAUAAAAGCUUCGGCAGAUAAGAGUAGCAGUCUUUUAUGUUUUGUUAUGUAAGGAAAGGCUUCGGCAAAAAGAGGAAGCGGCCUUUUAUGCUUCGUUGUGUACGAAAAGAAGGGAAGGUGUUUUUUCGCCUUCGGCUCAAAAAACUGAUUUCGUCCACAUCAAAGCACCUCAAUCGAAGGGUAAGAAUAUAUUACAAGGUAUGUACAAAGUUCCUUGAAGAACAGUUUAAUUCUAUUUACAAGAGUUGUUACAAAAUUAUCCUGAGUUUUUCUAAAGCACACUUCUGCUAGUCUUCAUUAAGCUUCAGCUUCGACGACAACUUCGGCGACAUAUCCUAGGCAUCAUCUUCACCUUCGUCAUCCUACAUGAGUCAAGGAAUCAUAAGAAUCAAGCCCAAAGGAAAAGGUAAGCACGAAAUGUCAUUUCUUACUGGUUCAAGAUGACUUCGGGCUUCGUCUCCAGCUUUCUCUCGCCCGCCCUUUGUCCAUACCAUUUUUAUAAAUCUAUUGGAGAUACUUCGGGCGAGGUCGGGCAUAUCAUCCAGGAUUGAUGAAGAUAAGGUGAAGUUGGGCCUGUUGACAACCUUUCCAUGUUCGCAGCCGGCCUUCAGAAAUGCAGCAGCGGUACCCCGAGAAGCUACCCAGGCACAGAAGUCGCCGUGCCCGGCUAUAACUUCGUCAAGCUCUUCGAUUUCAGCUUCAAUAUGAUCGAAGGCCUGGGGUAAAUUUUCCGCCGAAGGGUUAAAUUUCCCACUGCUGGCUCCAACAGAGUAAAAUAUCUUCUUUAAUCGUCCAAUACAAUUAUUGCCAAAGCUCAAGCAUUUGUCUUGAAGGCUUGUUAAUGCUUUCUUCAAUUCUGAGCUGGUCUGGACUUCGGCUUUAAGCUUCGAAUUCAGUUCUAGCUUCUCCUGAUCAAAUUGUUUUGAUUGAUUGAUAAGCUUCGAAUUUAACUCUAAUAUUUUAGCCUCAGUUUUAGCCAGCAAGCCUUCGGUCGAUUGGAGCUCGAAGUCUUUCUUUUCAAUAAUGGCAGAUUGCUCUUUUAUUUUGCUUUCCAAGUUUUCAAUUAUAGCUUCGUGCUUUUUGUCCUCCAAGUCUUGUUGCAUCUUCAGAGCUUUGCUCAGUAGCAUGCUCUGAACAGAAACAACUUAUGUUAAGUAAUAUUUUCAUUGUUAACGGCAAUAAAAACCAGAGAAAAAGGUUGUUUACCUUGAAGUUAGAAUAAAACAAGCUGCCGACGAUAUGUUGUCGUCGGUAGCGGCUGAUGUCUGUCUCUAACUUCGGAAAACCGAUACUCUUCGAUAGAGUACAGAUUACCUUAGCUCCAGUCUGGUCUCGAAUACAGCCUAGUUUUUCAUCAUCUACACCCCCAAAUAGAAGGGCUCCUGGCUUGUAGCCGCAAGAUUUGGCAUAGUCUUUGAGUUCUUCUAUUUCGUCCUUCGUCAGUUUCUGCCCAAUUAGAUUCUGGAAAGAAUAGGCUUCGUCGUCCGGAGUUUCUUCGAUUAUUUCUUUCCCUUUCCCUGGCACUGUGGCCAGGAUUUCUUCAGUAACGGUGGCAGCUUCUUCAAUGUUUUCCGUCAAAAUUUUGUCAAUAUUUUCAAGAGUAGUUUCUAAAUUUACAUCUUCGGGUGUGGCAGCUUCGGUAGCCGCGACUUCCGAAGCUCUACCUUCAGCAGCUGCCGUUUUCUGAAUUGACAACCUAGGUGGAGUUUUGUCGAUAACCUCAGUUACCGCAAUAAUUCUUUGCCGUUUGGGUUUGUUUAUCUUCGGUUGAUCCGGCUCGUCCACCUUUUCAAAAAGCUUCGUCAGUUGGAGCCCUAGUGGACUUAGCUUCGUAGGCAUGGGUUCAGUCAUUACCUUUAAAAUUUCCUCCACGUCGCUGGUAGAAGGCGGUGUGGGGGUCUCCUCUUCUUCGGGUGAUUUGCGCUUCGGAGCAGAUAUUUUUCUUUUCUUGAGAACUUUCUUCUCCUUUGCUGGUAUUUCUUCAUCCCUGAUCAGAGCUUCGGCUACUCUUUUUCUUUUGAGGCCCUCGGCGCCCUUGUUCAAUUGUUCGUAGUCUGGGUAUUCGAAGCCUAGGGCGUCAAGCACUCGGUUCAGCCUUCGUUUCGGUCGGGCACCGAAGGCUGCUGUCAUUAGUUGAUCCUCUUUUUUGGAGUAAUUCCCCAGGAUUUCGUUGCACAUUACCUCAAUAGUGUCUAACCAUUCUUUGCAGGGUUUUUUGAAGAACUUCUUGAACUUGAAGUAAUAGGGAAGCCGGACAAGCUCCCCCUUCUUCUUCUCUCCCUCCAGCUUCGGCAUCUCCCACUCUUUUAGAGUAGGGAAAACUCUGAAUGCCAAGAACUCUUGAACUAAAUCCCUGGUGCCAAUAUGUUCUGAGAUAAUUUCAAAUUCACCCAGAGCAGCCCAGGUGGGACCUUUUAGGUCGCCAAUGCGGCAUUGUGGCCUUGUCUCUCCGAAGUUUAACUCCAGAGGGCUUUGUACCAAUUUUUCUUUGUCUUCAUCGACUUUUACAUAAAACCACUCAGAUUUCCAACCUGCUGGCCAUUUGCUUCGGUAGCUGAUGACAGGACACUUUGUUGUCUUCCGGUAGGCAAAAUUAUAGCAACCGAAAUUAUCAUGUAGCCCAUCUUUUCUGGCCUUUGUUUGGUAAUGUAAUUCGUGAGCUCGGCAGAAGCUGUCAGCAAAUGGUUCCACAGCUUGGCUUCGGAGGGCCCAGAUAUAAACAUUGAGCCUAACGAUGGCGUUAGGAGUCAAUUGAUGAAAGUAGAUACCAAACCUCCUUAGUAUCUCCGCAACAAUAUCGUGGAGAGGGAAUCUAAGCCCAGCUUUUAAAAAACUCUUGAAAAUAACAAUCUCAUCCUUUCUUGGCUUCGGGGUGGUUUCUUCUUCCCCGAAGCGGAGUAGCUUCUUCUGGUCCUCAUUGAAAUAACCUGCUUUCACCAUCUUCGAAAGGUCAGCUUUUGAAACAGUUGAUUUCCCAAAUUCCAGGUGACUGGGCUUGCUGGGCAUAGCAAGGUGAUAGUCAUCUUCGGAGUCAGUCCCCUCAAUGUUUUCUUUUCCUUCGGCAGUUGUUGGGCCUGCUUCAGCAGCAGGCAUUUCUUCUGUAGUCAGUAGACCGGAACGCUGCAUUGCUUCGGAGAUGGGCACAGUGUCUGAACCUUCGGCUUCGUCUCCCUCACGUACAACUUUGGCAGUAGAUCGUAUUCUCGCCAUUUGAUUCUAAGUUUGGGAAGUCAAAAACUUUUUCCUUUUUUCUUUUCUCCGAAGCUCUUCUUUCUGACGAAGCGGACGUUGAGAAGCACCUUCGUUCGAUUCUGAGACUUAAGCUUCGCCUAUGGUGAAAAAUUUUGGCAGCGAAACAGUGCAAAUAGCAAUGAAUGCUGUGGUAACUUCACACCCACCUGUUUGUUUAUAUAGUGCUGCAGGUAGGAAGGCGAAGCGGUGGAACUGUUACACCAGGCGCGCAGUAACUCAUACCCGCUGUGCAGUGGACCGCAAAGACCAAACAGUAACUCUACAAAGUGGGCUUGGCACGCGCUCGGAAGUCGGAUCGUUUCUCCGCAACGAGCUCAGGGAAGGUGUUUUUUGGACCUUCGGCUUCCCGAAGCUGAAGAGGUUUUUUUUCACGGGCCAAGCUCGUUACGAAGAACGAUCUAGCACCGCGAAAGGGGCUACUGUUGGGGUUGUGCUUCGGUACGCCGAAGGUCUCACACGAAGAAGCAGCUUCGGCCAAAGUCGUUUCUAAGAGAUGGCCGAAGGUCCCUUUUCAUGGAGCUUCGGCGUUUUAAACCGACAUAGAGGCAGAAUGACCUUUUUAUACAUGUAUGUCCGAGUCAAUGUUGUAAACUUCCGCAAGGGGCAUAAUUGUAAUUUGUCACAGGCUGCGACCUGUGUCUAUAAAUAGAUGAACAGUACCUCUGUACUGUUCACGCGAACCUGCUUUUUGCCUUCGCAUCACAUUCGCACUUUUUGCCUUCCGCAAGACCGAAGGUACAUUUGUACUUCAAAGUCAUUUAUAUUCAUUAAUACAAGUAGAGAUAAUUCUAUGAUAAUAUUUACAUGUUUAUUUCAUGAUUUAUGUGAAUGCUUUAUUCUUCAUUGUUAUGCUUACAAAGGUAUGUUCUUUGUAACCUUCGUCCGAGAUGCUAUAUAUCCCGAAGGGAUAUAUCGUCAUGAAGGACGAAGGACCUUAAUACUUAACAUUUUCCGUGUUGCCUUGUUCUUAAUUCGAAGCAUUUGAGAACAAGUCCCCAACAAUUAAUUUGGUAAAAAUUUAUUUGCCCACUGUUGCACACUUUUUGGCUUGCUUAUGAUUUAAUUGAAAUAUGGCUUAAUAUCAAGCUUUAUUUGUUUACCCUACUUUAAAUGAUGGGCUGAGGUGUUUAUCAUUUUUGUAGUGGGGUCCUAGUGGUUACAAGUCCACUGGAUUUUUCUUAACAAUUUUGAAAUUGUUUUCAUAAUUCUAAUAAUUGUCUUUCUAGUUUGAUGAGUGCUUAAUAAAACAUUUCACCUUGAAUCUGUUCUGGACUAGGGCUCCCUUUAUUUUUCCUAGGUUUUCUAUUACUUAAGUGGUCUAGGAAAAAUAUUUGCAUUCAUUGCUCAUUAUUUUCUAAUACCUUUCUUAUUUUCUUAAGUUUUGGGCAAAAAUGGCUUUUAAUAGAUAACCCAACUCAAAUCUUCAAUACUGUGGUGUUCAAUAUUUUUAAACAGUGUCUAAGUGGGGUUUGAACUUUUACAAAUUUUCUUAAGUUAAGUACAGAAGCAUAACUAAUUUUCUUCCUUUUAAAAAGUUUUGGUCAGUGUCCUUAAUUAAUUUCAAACUCUAAAAUUUGAAACAGAAAGCAUAGGGUUCAGUAUUUUUAUGUGAUAGUUCAUAAUAUUUUGAAUCCAGAAAAAUUGGUUUGGCUAAAUUUGGUUGAAUAUAACUCAAGAUAUAAAUUUCCUAAGUUCUCUGCUGAGUUUAAAAAGAAUAACAGAAAAUGGAUAAAGGAAAAAGGGUUUUGCACUGGGUUCCCUCGCGAAAGGUUUUAAGUGUAUUAUAGAUAGGUCCCCGGUUCACUAUUCAUCUGAGUCUAUGACUCUGUAGAAAACCCCCUAGGGUUUCAUGAAAUCGAACCCGCGAUCCUUCCCAUAAUGGAACAGUGACCGCGGCGGAAGAAAAGGGCGGAGGGGCUUACCGGCGGCGAGGCUGCUCCGGUGAGGGGUCGGGUGAGGUCUGGGAGUCUCUGGCGAUCACGUCGAGGUACGGAUCGUCGGCUGCGGUGGUCGGAGUAGGUCGGUCCACGUGCGCAGGCGGGGGAGCUUGUCGGCGGCGAGGGAUCCGGCCUGCUCACGGCGCCAUAAUCCAAUUGAAUGGGUCAGGGAGCUUCACCAGAGGUCAAGGAAGAUAUGUGCACGAAGAAUUUGAUAAUGGCUCACCAGAUUGCUCGGUCUACGCGUGGCCACGGGCGACCGAAGUCCGACGAGGACGAUCUCGGGUCUCCGGUGAAGUUCUGCCGGGUCCAAGAGCUUGGAAAGGUCCACGGGCUAUUGGCGAAGCUAACCGAGUGGCUGGCGUGGCUUGGAAGUGACUGGAGGGAGCUGGCCAAGGUGGCCGAGGCUCGGGUGGUGAUGGCGGGCGGUGGCGCGGCGUGCUUGAGGCGAAGUCCGGUGAACUUGGCUCGGGCAGGACUUGAGAGCGCGCGGGGAGGUACGACCGAGGCCUGGGGCUGCUUUAUAGGCACGACGUGGUGCACGGGCGGUCGUGGACUGGCGAGCGCGCGCGGGCGUGCACUGUGGAUAGCGGGUGCGCGAACGGGCGUGAACCGGGCGUGUCAGCCAUGGUCGAACACGUGGAACCGUUGCUUCUGCCCGAGUUCUAACGCCAAUUGGGCGCAAAUCUUCGCGAAUUUGGGCAAUAUCGUUGUGAAGGAUUUGUUCCCCUGACUGUGCUUUGUCGUUUGUGUGUGGAUGUUGCGCGGUUUUAGGCUAGGGACAGAGAGUUGUAGCAUCACCAAGGUGCUAGUGUCAGAUAGUCGGGUCCCAAGGACAAACGGUGCCAAAACCGUGCCAAACGAUUUUGGUUUGAGUUUAAAUUUUUCCAGAGCAUGUUCAAGUAAAUUUGGCACCACUUUGAUAUUUGGACUUUUUGGUUUCGAGGUUUGGAAAAUAGGAACGCAUUUGAUCUUGAAAAAGGGUUCUGAAAUUCAGAAUUCUGAAUUCUGAAUUUCCCCAUGGGACCUUGUUUCAAGGGCUGAUUUGGGGAUUUUUAAAAACCCAAAUGUCAAAACCUUCUUACUAUAUUUUUUUGAUCAUUUAGUGUAGUAAAACUUUGUUAUUUGGUUCUUACCAAAAUUUUGUAUUUCUCCCAAGUCUUUUCCCAAAUUCCCUUUUAUGUGCUUAAUGGUUCACUUAGGAUUAAUUAGGGUUUGAGAGUUCUUCUUACCUUGAGGUUCAUGACAUGAUUAAGGAGAAUUCCUUAAGAUGAAAAAGACUCACUUUAAACCUUUG
rnacentral:lncRNA from 1 species